AAUGAAUUCCUGACCAAGCACAUGGGCUUAUUUUGGUGACAUUUACAGAAGAAAGAAACCAUGAAUGCAAGAGAGAACGACUAUGGACUUUAAGGCUGGCUUUCCAUUUCACAAGAGCAUGGCCUUCUUCUAUAGAAUUAGAAGAAACAUCAAGUGAAAAGUCUAAAACAAGAAACAAGAUGAGGGGAAAAACGAGUGAUAUAAUUACUCUAUUAUUUUUCAAGGCUGCUGAAUCCAUUGAUUAUGUUGUUGGGUAGCAAUAGAAAACAAAGAUGAAAAUAGAAGAUGAAUUACAGAAACCAAACGGUGAUGGAGAAAAGAAGCACACUAACACUACUAGAAAAAUAGUCUUUUGUGACACUUGUCUUCUGACACUUUAUUAUAAAGUAUCAGUAAUUACAUGUAUUUGGGGUAUUUUCCGUGUUUAACAGAUAAGUAUCACAAAUUGCUAAUACUAUGGUGUCAGUAAAUUAAAUAUCACAGAUUCGUGACACUAAAGUAUUUGUAGUUAAAAAAAUAAAAUUUUAAUUUCAUAUCUAGAAAUAAUCGAACCGAAGACCCCUAAGCCAUAACCUUUUGAUUUUAACCGCCAUACCACUCGGCCACAAAUUGCAUUUUUAAACAUAUAAAUAAAUAAAUAAAUAAAUAUUAAACUUAAAACCUGAAACCCAAAACCUAAAACCUAAAAUUUUUUCAUGUAUGGUCUGUGUGAAACCUAAAACCUAAAAAUUUUUGUUAAGUCAAAAAUCUAUCACGGCCGUCGAAGCUUUCUUCCUUCUCUCUCCUUCCCUCUCUCUCGCUCUCUUUCUCUCUCUAACAAUGAUAUACCUUGAAAGCCGCCUCCAUCAACACCUUGAAAGCCGCCGUCCUUAAGCUAAAAUAUCCCUAAAAAGAACCCAGAAAGUGCUGUGAAGAAUUUGGGCAAAGUUAAGGUUUGAAAGUCCGAAUCAGUGUUGUGGUAACUCUUUGUCUCAUUCUCUAUUCUCAUUGUUUAAGUAUUUAUCUGUUAAUUGAUUGAUGUUUAUUGAGUGCAAAUGAGAGCUUGCACUUGUUUGGAAAUCUAGCCAUCUAGGGUUUUUGUUGCUUAUAAUCUAAUUUAUUGUUUAAUAAAAUAAAUAAAACGCAACUUUAUUAUAGGUGGAAUUCAGUUUAUUAAGUGAAAAAAUGAUCACAAUCAAUGAUUAUGGAUUUAGGUUGAAUGCAAUUUGUUAAUUAAAAGAAUAAUGGCAAUCGACAAUCAUGUGUUUAGUAUGUAUUAUAUAUUUCGUUUAAUGGUGUGUAUGAAAACCCAAAACUUAAAAUUUUCUUUAAGUAAAAAUCUCAGUUCUCCCUCACGACCUAUAUGCUCAUCUCUCUCUCUCUCUCUCUCUCUCUCUCUCUCCCCACUCUUUCUAGCUAACAACCCAAAACUUAUUGUGAAACCGCCAUAUCAAUCUUUCAAAGCUCAUUAGUUAGCUGGUUAUUGUGAAAAGUAAGGUAGGUUAUUGUUUGCUCAAAGCUCAUUAGUUAGCUGGUUAUUGUGAAAAGUAAGGUUAUUGUUUGCUUUUAUGUCUAAUUUUACUUUAAACAUGGGGAUUGAUGAUAUUCGAGUUGCCGGACACUUGAUUUUGAGGUGAAAGAUUAAUUAAUAGUUUACGAAAUUAUGCUGAAAAUUUGAGGAUUGAUAAACUGUUGUUGUGAACUUGGUUGUUUCCAAACUUGACUAAAUGGCUUUCAAUUGAUUUGAAAGUUUGAUUAAACUAAGUUUAAACGAGAACAUUUUAAUUCUGGAAAUUUUGGAAUGAAUUGGGUUUAUAUUUGAUUUUGAAUGGAUUUUAUGUACCAUGUUUGAUAUUGCAAACGUAUAGUCUAACAGAGUUAGAAUAAGCUGAAAUUUGGAUAAACUACACUUCUAUUGCAUACUUUGAAUCUGGAAAAUUUUAUUUUGUUUGAACUUGUAAUUUAUUUUUAAUGAUUUUUCAAACUCUGCUGCCUCUGCAGUAACUUCUUUUGACAGAACUGUUCAUUAAUCUUUGAUCCUAUCAAACACCAGCCUAAUGAUAUCGGAAUAACCUCAAAUUUUAAUAUGUUGUUCACUUAUAUGUCCACUUAAAAUUUGAAAAGUAUCAUUAUGAUAUAUUUAGUAUUUUAAAUUUAAUAAAUAUUCAAACACCUGCUGCUACUUUUACAGUUUCAUAUGCAAUUUUAACUUAUAUAGUUUUAUCAUGUGAGAAGCAAAUGUAGAGUUGUCCAAAUGACUUGGAAAUUUUAUUUAUGGUGCAUUGACAUGUCUAAUUAUGUUUUGUAAGUUUCAUAGCAUUCCAAAUUGAAUUAAAGAAAAUCUUAAAUUCAAACUAUCAAUGUUUCCUAUUAAAUCUGAUUAGUGAUAAAUCUACUAAUCUCUUUUCAUUAUAUUUGGGACUAUUCUUAAAGGUUAGUCUUUUCCUUUUUCCUUUUUUUCUUUUUUAUUUAAGGUAAUCAUAUUCAUUUUAAUUUUAAUUACAAUCAAUUUGGCGUUGUUAGACAACUUGCACCAACCAAUCCAACAACAAAUGAAGAUAACAUUUUUUAAAUGCAUUCAGUUUUUGACAAUAGCAAAAAGAAAAAGGAAAAAUGAUACUAGUUUAGGCUUUAGAAAAUUUGCAUCAUCAUUCUUACACUGCAGCUGCCUCUAUCUCGGUGCUCUCGGAGAAGUAAUCUUGCUUGAUUUUGCGUGAUAGUUGAUGGUUUUAGGACUAGCCGGGUGGUUCCAGAAAGUUAGGAGCUUGUUAGCUAUUCUUUUUAAUUGAACUAAUUUAACUUAAAUAUUAGCCCGAUUAUUGAUUUCUAUGGUUUGCGAUUGAUUUGAGUUUGACAUUCUUGUUUUGUGUUGGUUUGAGUUUGACAUCCUAGUUUAAGACUUUGAAGGCUUCCAAGAAAUGAUUUUGGAUGAUGAGCAUAUGAGUAAUAGUUUGAAAAUUAAUUUACUGUAUCAAAUAUAUACUUAGUGUAGCAUAUUAAUUUUAAGAACUAUGGAUUAUUCCAUGAAUAUUCUAGUAAAUGGUUAUGUUAUAUAUGCAUGUCUUAAUAUAUAAUAAUUAUAUUUUGAAGUUUAUUUUUUUUCCCUUUCUAGGUUUAGGAAAAAUGUUUAAAGUGAUUUUGGGUUAUGAUGUCAAUCAAGUUAAAGCAACAUUACUUGUGAGUGGAAAUAUAUAAUGAUUAUAUUUUUAUUCUACUUUUUUUUAUCUUCUUAAAGUUUUAUAAUUAGGCAAAAUUAAUGAAUACUUAAUUACAAUUUAGGGUGAUAUUCUUUAAAUGUUUCACAUGAAUAAAUUUAAGUAGUAUAAUAAAUCUCAUACUCACUUUAUAAAGGCUUAACUAAGUUUGCAAAUAGUAUUUCUUUUAGUAGUAAUAAUUUUGGAUCAAACUCUCAAAUUAUUGAAAUAUUUUAUGUCCAAACUUUAUUAUGCCUAAUAUAAAUAUGGAGAUUAUAGUUAUUUUAUGCCCAGUUUAAAGAAACAACAGUUUGAGGACUUAUUUUUUGCUUUGUUAAAUAAGCUUUUAGAAUGAAUAAAUUGAGGAAAUGAGUGGUGAUUUAUUUAUAAUAGAGCAUUUGUGAUUGCUUUUAACUAUGCACAAAAAUCAUUUGGUAUAUGUAGAUAGAGUAACAUGCUUGUGCUGAAAGUAGAUAUUACAUUGAAAACUUUUUGUCUGCUAUAGUUUGCUAUAUAUAUAACCUUUACCAAAAGAGAAUAAUUUAGUUUAUUUAUAAAUAGCUCAUGAGUAUUUUUUUUCUUUCGAACAAAAUAAUUUUAUUUCUGUUAAUUGUUAUUUCUCUAAUGGCCGGAUAUUGGCAGCUAAUUUUUUUUUUCUUUUCCAUGUAUUCAUAUGCAGAUUUGAUCAAUGUGUUUGAAGUGUUUAUUCCUCAACUUCACUUAUAUCCUAACCCAUACAGUCUAUUGAAUAGAGAAGCUGCUGGUGUGAUAACGCAAUUAUACUACUCAUAUUCAAAGAGUGAAAGGCAGUCAUCCUUCUCAAUUUAGCUUAUAGAUUUAUUAAAUUUAGCCACAAGUAGUAGGCAUUUGAUUGGAUGGUAGAAAUUUUUAUGUAUUGAAUUUGAAUUAUUUAGUUAUGAGAGUAGGAUAUUUCAUAUUUUUGUUAUUGAAGUUUUGGAAUUUGUAAUAUAUACUAAUAAUAUUUAAAUGUGAAAUGAAAGAUUUUGUGAUAUAAAUCAAUUUCUUUUUGUUAUUUUGUGGUGCCUUUUAAUUUUACCAAUAAAUCAAUAGGUAAUGAUCCAAUUCAAUUUUUUAUUUUUUUAAAAUAAAUUAACUAGUGAUACCAUGGUAACAGUAAUCAUAGACACUAAUAAAAUAUCAAUAACUACUAACACGAUUGUGUCAUAAUAUCGAUGAUACUGUAGUAAUAGUAAUCACUGACACCACAUACAAGUGUCAUUAUUUUUCUGACUCUCAGAUUACUGACACAAUUAACAAGUGUCAGUGAAAGUAAUUUCUGACAUUAUUCUAAAGUCAGCAAAGACUAUUUUUCUAGUAGUGUAAGAGCAAAUGUAUAGAAUACUAAGUCAAUUGACCUCUAAACUUGAGUUGCUUUCAAGGGAAAUAGUUUCUGGAGAUAUAAUAUUAGGGGGUAAAAAAAAAUCCUUGUACCACAUGCGACUAUCUUGUCUUUGGGACAAGUUAAUUUAUAUAUUAAAUUAAUAAAACUUAUUAUAUUAUUAUAAUUUAAAAAUAUGGAAAUUAUAAUUUAAGACAAAGACACAUGUGUUGCAAUAGUAAUCACUUCUUUGUCGCCGCACAAGGAUGACUUCCCGUCAUCUUUGCAACCAAAAGUCAUAUAAAAAAAUAAUAAAUAUGAUUGUCCAUCCUUUCGUAUAAACAAAUAACAAUACUGAUAUUUAAUUUGAAUUUUAUUCAUCGAAAUAAAUAAAUUUAAUAUUUUUUAAUUAAAAUCAGACGAAAAUUGGGAGAUGGCUCGUCGCCUGGUAAACAUCUUUGGGAGAUGGGCCUCCACCCAUCAACUAUCCAUACAAAUAAUAAAUUUCGGGCUACAUAUCAUUUUUUAAUGAGUCAAACUAUUGACACUCUUCCAAAAUCUUCAUAAAGUUUCUUUUUUUUAAAAAAAUUAUAUUCUAUUUAAUAUUAAAGGUAUUUUUUUCUGACAUAUUAUUUUAGCACCUAAAUUUUUUGAUAAUUAUUAUUUUUUUAUAUAUUUUUACAAUUUACCAUCAAACUAUUAAAGCGUAAACUAUGUAAGUAUAAUUUAACCUUCUAAAUUAAAGAAAUACAAAAUUAAUUAUAUACCAAAAAAAUAAUAGUGUUAUCAAUUAUUAAGUAGGAAAAAGUAAUUAUCCAAAAAUUUUGAUAGUAAAGUGAUAUGCCAAAAAAUAUUAGGUAGCAAAGUGAUAAAAUCUAUAUAUUUUUUAAAAAAUCAAUCAUCACAAUUCAUAGUUAGCGAUAAUAUCCGUUUAUUAAAAAAAAAAAAAANNNNNNNNNNNNNNNNNNNNNNNNNNNNNNNNNNNNNNNNNNNNNNNNNNNNNNNNNNNNNNNNNNNNNNNNNNNNNNNNNNNNNNNNNNNNNNNNNNNNNNNNNNNNNNNNNNNNNNNNNNNNNNNNNNNNNNNNNNNNNNNNNNNNNNNNNNNNNNNNNNNNNNNNNNNNNNNNNNNNNNNNNNNNNNNNNNNNNNNNNNNNNNNNNNNNNNNNNNNNNNNNNNNNNNNNNNNNNNNNNNNNNNNNNNNNNNNNNNNNNNNNNNNNNNNNNNNNNNNNNNNNNNNNNNNNNNNNNNNNNNNNNNNNNNNNNNNNNNNNNNNNNNNNNNNNNNNNNNNNNNNNNNNNNNNNNNNNNNNNNNNNNNNNNNNNNNNNNNNNNNNNNNNNNNNNNNNNNNNNNNNNNNNNNNNNNNNNNNNNNNNNNNNNNNNNNNNNNNNNNNNNNNNNNNNNNNNNNNNNNNNNNNNNNNNNNNNNNNNNNNNNNNNNNNNNNNNNNNNNNNNNNNNNNNNNAAAAAAUAAUAGUGUUAUCAAUUAUUAAGUAGGAAAAAGUAAUUAUCCAAAAAUUUUGAUAGUAAAGUGAUAUGCCAAAAAAUAUUAGGUAGCAAAGUGAUAAAAUCUAUAUAUUUUUUAAAAAAUCAAUCAUCACAAUUCAUAGUUAGCGAUAAUAUCCGUUUAUUAAAAAAAAAAAAAAUCAACGGCUUUGUUUAACAUUUACUUUAAAAAUGAAUGAUGACAAUUCUUCGCUAGUGACAACUAACAUAAGCAUUGCAUGGUCCCGUUAAGAGAAAAAAAAAGGGGGGCUGCAUAGACAAAUAGAAAGAAUGAAGCUUUUCACACACGCCUACUAAAUAUUGAAAUUAAAAUGUAAAACGAAGACAUGUUUGCCACAAUAAUAAUCACUUACUUGUCGCUACAUAAGGAUGACUUCCAGUCUUCUUUGGAGUCAAAGACGUGUUUGCAGCAACAGUCAUCGCCUAGUUGUCGCUGUACAAGGAUGACUUCCAGUCUUCUUUGGAAUCCAAAGUCAUAUAAAGAAAAAAAAUACAAUAGAUACAAAUUUUCAUCCUUUCGAGUGAACAAAUAGCAAUACCGAUAUUGAAUCUGAAAUUUUAUCUAUCGAAAUAAAUAAAAUUAUUUACAGUUGGAUAAAAUUUUAUUUAAUUUAUUUUCUGUUUGUGUUGUGUCUUAAUUUAAUUCUUAUGUUUGUUACAAUAAUUUUGUUUUUAUUAAAGAAUUACUUCUUAAAUUCAGAUUGUUUGAAUGAUAUAAAAAAAAUAUUAUACAAGUAAAAUACACUAAAGAGAGAAAAAUUAUAAAUAGAAUUAAUUCUAUUUGUAUUUGUCCUUAAAUAUAAUUAUAAUCUAAUAUAAAUUUCAUAAAAUUAAAAAAUUCAACUUGGUUUCAUUGAACAAAGAAAAUUCUUAGCUAGUGCAAGAGGCAUCAGAGGGCCCCGCAAAAAAAUAUGAAUGGGCUACACCGACCGCCCGAAUUCUAUGAAUAUUAAUAAUAGAUGCAAAAGAAUACAAAUUUAUCAUUUUUUCCUUCUUCAAUGAAUAUCAAUUUCCUUUUUUUUUGGGAGAAAUAAAUUAACUUAUUAUCCAAGGAAGAGAGCUGGUUGUAUUAGAUUUAAUAUGAUAGAAUAACUAGCAGAGAGUUUACUGCAAAAAAUAAAGAAAAUAUGGAGAGACAUAUUUUCAAGGCAGUUGUAGAAUAAUUAAUAAAAGAGAGAUUGUCAUAUUCUCCCUACUGAAAUCAAUAUAGAUCACUUACUUCUUGCUAUUUUCAUAAUAGUCAAUAAUUCCCUUGGCAACAUAAUUUAAUAGUAUUACUGGUGUUGCUUUAUUCACAUUUAUUAUAAAUUGAAUAAAUCAUAUGAAUGUAAACUAAAAUAAAUCAUAUAAAUGUAAAUUAAAAUAAAAAAUUGAAGUACUAAAAAUAAAAAUAUAUAUUUUGGCGUGAAUAAAAAAUUAAUAAUAAGAUAUUUUUCUUUUAUUUUUUAUUUUAAAAUAUUUUCUUAUAAAAAAUAUAUAUAUUUUAUAUUCCGAUGAUAAGUUAUUAAAUGAAGAGUAAUGAUAUAGCUACAAACUCUUGUAUAAAUUUAUUUUGUACAAAUUGAUGCUGCAUUAAUUUAUUAGUUGAAUUAAAUAUCUCUUGGCCUACAUGAUUUAUUUAUAUUAUUUUAUAUUUUUAUUCAACCAAUAAAUUAAUACCACAUCAGUUUGUAUAAAAUUAGUUUAUACAAGAGUUUGUGGUUAUAUCAUCACUCUUAUAUGAAUAACCCAUUUACCUUUAUUUUUCUUUAAAUAUUUUUAUGCUCAAUGAGUUUUUUUAUAUUAUGACAAAAAAUAAGGAGAGAAGUGUUAAAUAUUAAUUUUAAUAAAAGAGAAAUUAUUUGCAGAGUAAUGAAGGACCCCGCAAAGAAAUAAAAAUGUGCUUGCUACUUGUAGAAAAUUCUUAGUCUCAGACGAGCAUUAACUUCUCAGUGCCUUCCUCGGACCGUUGGCUCCCCAAUCCCAACUACUAUAAAUAAUAUACGUUCAAGAGAACACUAAUUUAUCAUCCAUUCAUCCUUUCCAUCUUCAAUUAAUGCUCGUUUAUUGAUAUUAAUUUCCUCUUACUUCCUUUAUUUUUGGCAUAACGAAAAUGGGAUUGGGCUCUAAGAUUUUCCUUCUUUUAGGUCUUGUAAUCACUAUUGUUGUUCUUCUUACUUCUACGAAGGUGGCAGCUGCUAGAAACAUGGCUGAGGCUUCCACUGCAACACGAAAAGGUGAGCGUCUUGGUUUCUGCAUUAAUUUGGGUCAUCUUAUAUAUAACAUAACAAUCAAAUUAAUUUCUUCCAGCAAAGCCAAUUUAUAAGUUGUGUUGGUUGUUUUAUGGUGGUGACCGAUGGCUUACAAAACUGUCGUACUACGUAAUAUUUAUCGUGAAUAAUAUUGAAGAAGUGAAUUAAUUUAAAAAAAAAUUUAAAAAAUAAAAAUUUUUGGGUAGUAUAUUUAUUUUUUUAAUCUUUUAGCUCAUUAAUUAUUAUUCAAUAUAAUAUAUUUUAUCUUGUAGUACAAUAAUUUUUUUAUCUUUUAUUUUGCCUGUUAAAUUAUUAAAGAAAGAAAUUCCUUUAUUAUACAAAUAUAUGCCACUUGACAUCAUUAUUCAUCAUAAUGUCAACAAUACCGCCUAUUAUAUAUAUAUAUAUAUAGAUAUAGAUAUUACAUCAUUGUAUGGUAAUUAUUAUGCAUUUUCUUCUUUUUACUUUAAAAAUAAGGGAUUCGGAUAACCAUAACUCUAGAACACUUUUACCAUCGCCAACAGCCUCAGCAAAUGACUUAGAAGAAUGAGUAGAAGUAAAACAGGUGGUUUACUAGACGCAUCGGCCAUGAAAAUCAAAGGAAAACUGAUUACCCUAGAAAUUAAUGUCGGAAGAAGACAAGAGUAUAAAUGAACAUAAAGCUCUCGAACUAAUAUGAUUGUUUUUAUUUUUUCCCUUAAACUAGGGAUAUAUAUUCAUUACACCUAGCAUCUUAUGCUUUAUGUUUUCCUUUUAAUAGAAUUUUCUCUUUGCAUUGAGGUUGAAUUUUUUUUUCAAAAAAAAAAAAGAUAUGACAUGUUGCUACACAUAUACGUGCAACUGAGGCAGCUACAGAAGCACCGAAGAUGCCCAAUAAAGCUCGUACAUAUAGUGGAAUUUUUCCUGGGCCGUGCAGUGCAGCUGGUGGUUGCCCUUGAGUAGAGGUUGCUGCAAAGACUAAAUUGAUUCACCAUACACGUGUGUGUAUCCUAAUAGAAGGUUCUUAAAUUUGUGUUGUAAGAGAUUUUAUCUUAUGCAUGCAUCAUAUGAAUAAUGAAUAGAUAUGUUGUAUGAGGUUUAAUUAAAGAAGAAAGAACUAGCAAGAAAAAAUAAAAUAGUUUAAAGUUGAUUGGUAUAAGAAACAAAGGUUUAUGAGUAAUGAAGUUUAAUAAAUAAGUCUUAAUUAAUAAAAUUAGAGUUUUGUGCCCCUUUAUAUAAUAAUCUUAAAUAUCACGAAUUUAAUAAAAUAAGAAAAUUCGAAAUAUUUAUUGUAGGAAAAUUAUCCACCGUCCACCCGUUUUUUUUACCUUUUUUCAAAAAUACAAAAAAUUUUUUUUGCAGCACUUCACCUAAAGUUAACAUUUUUUUCAUUGAUCUACUCUCGUUAUAACACCGUUAGAACUUUGCUGACAUUAUAAUGGUAAAAUUAUCAUUUCACAACGACACAGUGGUUGAAAUGUGUAAAACAAUAUAACUUCAAGAGAGAGUUUAGUUAAAAAAAAUUAAGAAUUGUGUAUUUUUAAAAAAAUAAGAAAAAAAUAAGUGAUCGGUGGAUAAUUAUCUUUUACAUUUGAGGGUAAAAAAGUCAUUUAUACAAUAUACCGUUAGUUUUCUUAACGAUCUCCAAACGAAAGUGGAAAAGUGAAAAGAAAUGCAACUUCAAGUGGAUUCCAGCAAAAAAAAAAAGAAUUAUGUAAUUUUGAAAAAGUUGAAAGAACGGGUGGACGAUGAAUAGUUUCUCUUUAUUUUAUAAUAAAAUUCUCCUAAUCUAAAUAAGAAAUCGAAAUUAAACACCAAAUCUGACAUCUAAAAAAAAGAUAAAAAUGGAAUUGUUAGCUUAUCCAUAGAACAAUGCAAGCAGUUUUAUGUUUGAUCCUCUCAUUGCAAGCUUUGAAACAAUAUAUUAUAUGUCCAAAACAGACACCUAUAGCUCAAGUUAUGCCCCUCAGAAGAUGCCCUACUCAUCCCACGCAACCAUCCUACAUCAAUCCCCCUCACUUGGAAAAGAACUCAUCCUUGAGUUUGGCUUGUAGAAUGCCUUAUCAUCUGGAUGAUAUUCAAACGGAUCAACCUCAUUGAAUGUUAGAGAGAUAUUCUAGUUUUUUGGCAGCUGGAGCACAUAAGCAUUGUCAUUAAUCUUCCUUGCCGCAUGAAAUGGUUCAAACUUGAGCUUCUCCAAUUUAUACGAAUACCAGGGAAACGACUUGGAUGUAGAUACGCAAUCACUAAAUCACCUUGUCGGAAUACUUUCUUACAUUGAUGCUUUUCAUGCCAGCCUUGUACUUUACAUUGGCAGCCUCUAAAUAAGCUCAAACCUCGGCAAUCUGCAGAGCUUUUUCUGUCACAUUAUCCACUGCUCUACUUCCUCCAGUUAUUGUUAGCAUGAUAGUCAAAUCAUAAACAUCGCAUGGGGAACAAGUGUAGACAAUCUCGAAAUGAGUCUUGCCAAUAGAUCGAUUCACCAUGCUAUUGUAAGUAAACUCAACCUUAGGUAAGGCAACUUCGCAAUUAUGUUGUUUGUCAAUACAAACACAUCGCAACAUGUUACCCAAAGUGCAAUUGAUCACCUUCGUUUGUCCAUCUGUCUGUAAAUAAAAAGCAUUACUAGACUGCAAUUGUCUACCGAACUUAUUCCCGAGAUAAUGCCAAGACUUGCUGAUAAACUUCACAUCCCUAUCAAAAGUAUAGUCUUUGGAACACCAUGCAAAUGUACCACAUCUUAAAAGAACAAAUGCACAACUAAAGCAGUAUCUUCAGUGUUCUUGCAAGCACUAUAACGAGCCAUUUUUGAAAAUCUAUCUACCACAAUCAGUAUAGAAUCUCAACUAGUUUUUGUGUGAGGCAACUGAUAACUCUAUGAAAUGAGAGUUAUCAUGGCACUUUUAGACUUAAUUCAAGAUCACUUAGAGAAUAAUUGACAUGUUUUUAUUGCAUUUUAAUUAUGUUUUGCAUGAACAUCCAUUUUAGUUUAGGUUUAAUAAAUUUUGUUUGAUUUCGAAUAACUAUGUGCUUAAAACAUAUGCAUAAUUGUAGAUAAUUGGAUGCUCGAAUUUCUAGGAAAUGAUGCUAUGCAAUGGGCUUGCAAUAAGGACAAGAGAACAUGGCUGCAAAAGAAUUGAAGCAAGUCUGGAAUAAUGCAUAUGUUGUAGCCAUUACUAUAGAAACCAUUGUUGUAGCAAUCCUAGAGCAUUGACAAAAAAGAGUUCGCAUGAGGCACUUUACAGAUUGCAGUUUUCAAUUCUGGAAAAUGCGAGUCCUAGACUUCCAUUUACUCUAAUUUUCAAUUAUAAAAGAACCACACACGCUAAGGAAAAAAGAGAGAGCCAUCAACCAAGAGUGAAAACCGAAAAGAAAUAAAGGAAAAACUAAAUUCAAGAGUAAGAAUCAAGGUUGUCCCAGUGGAAUAUUUGCAGGAAUCAAUUGGAAUUCAAUCUUUCUUAUUCUUUUCUUGCUUUCUUGUUGAUUAUUUGUUCAUGGAGAUGUAUUUGAUGGCUGAAACUUUGUUGUUUAUUUCUCUUUCGCAUACUAUGAACUAAAUUUACUUGUGGUUGAGUGAUAAACAAUCUUAAUGGUUUGUUGACUAAUUAUAUGUGUUGCUGCAUGUUUGCUUUAAUAUUUUGUUUUUAUAGUACUUAUUUACAUUUAUUAUUUCAUCUGACCACCCAUUUAAUGAUACAAGCUAAGAAAGAGCCACAAAAGAGUCUAUUUUAGUGGAACAUAUUAGAACAAUACUUGGUUUUUAGAUUAAGUUUCCUGAGUUGAGUUUAACUUGAUUUCAAAAGGGUCAUGCUUAAUUUAAAAUGAGUGAUGAACUAGAUAUAGGGAUUCACCUUUUAGGGUAAAUAGAAUCUAAACGUGUAAUGUUAUAUCUUAUGUUGGCAUAACAAUUGGUCACUGUUAGGUUGCAUAAAAAUAUAAGACAUCCAACAUGCGAUAACUAAGGAUACAUAAGGAUCCUGCCCAAUGUUGUAGCAGAUACUGUAGCAACCGAGCAUAAAAUUAGAAGAAAUAGUCAAAGCCAUUAAUGGAGUGUAAUCACUCAUUCAACUACUUCAUUCCUAUUGAUUUUAUCUUUGUGUGUGAAGUGAAAGUUUGCUUUCUACAUAUCUCAUUAUUGUAUAGUUUAUUAGUUUAAUUAUUCACUCUAUUUUCAAUUAAGGCAAAACUGCACUGUCGAGAUUGUUGUAGCAAUUCUGAUAACAUCAAUCUCUGUGGAGACGAUCUUGAAUACUCAUAAUUAUAUUACUUGUUAUGUACACUUGCACAUUAACAUCAAUGGCAUUGGAAAUUAUAGCAACAAAUUUUUGGGGUCGUUGCCGAUAGGGGUGGGCGCGGUUCGGUUCGGUUCGGUUUUUUACUAUAUUUUUCAUAAUCGUUCGAUUACGAUUAUUUUAAAAUCAUAAUCGCGAUUAAUCAAAUUACCGAAAUAAUCAAAUACUCGAUUAAUUGAAAUAAUUCGAUUCGGUUCGGUUCGAUUAUUUCAAUUAUGGGCCUAUUUUGGGCUUUUUUAAAUUUAAAACUUUAAAUUAAUAAAUCUACAACAAUUAUCAUGUAAUUCAUAUGAGCUGGAUAAUCAUGCAGGAAAAGCAAUCUAACGGGAGCAAAAAUAAUUAUUAGUUAGUUGUUUUUAUUUAUGGGACCAACUGUCAGCAUUUUUUUUUGUUUGUUCGUGGGAGAAAUUCAAAGGUUGCUUAAGUUACAACCUUUGUAAUUUAUUGCAAAAUAUGCAAAAACUAAUAACAUGACAGUGGCAAAGGUAAAAAUGAAAUUGUGCAGUAUAUUCCCAGUAUUCAAUUCCUAUACUGCACUAAUCUUAUCUUUAACCAUCCAUGGUGUUAAGUAUCGGCAACCAGUCAACCACUUUCAGUGGUGAGUUAUUUUUGAGAACUUCUAAAAAUCAGGGACCAUUUAGGUUACUAUCAGCACCACUCUUCAGUCUUUUUCACUCUUGGUUGAUUCUUUUAGAGUCCGAGAAAGAACCCACCCCAUAUGGUAGAAUCCCAAAAAUCAGGACAUGUAUUAGAUACUCUUUGGGUCUGGGAACCAAAACACACUGAUUUCCCGUCUUUAUCACAAGUCCAACAACGUUAAACUCUGUUUCAAGUUUUACUGUUUUUACUCUCGGCAUGAGCACAUCAUCAUGUGAAAGCAUUAAAAUCCAACCAUUAAAAUCCAAGUAAUAGCAAACUCACAAGUUGUAGCUUCGUGGAGAUCACUCGGCGACGAGCAGUAGCAGCAGGCUGCAGCAGCAGCGACGAGCAGCUGCAGCAACAGGAACGUGUUAACAUAUAUGUUUCCAUAAUAUUGAUUUUGAUGAUAACAAACAAGAUUAAGAAUGAUUAAUCUUUUAAGCCCAAAUUAUUUAAUAUUCUUUUUAAAUAAAUCAUUAUUUUUACAUUAUAAAGGUUUUAUAUUUAAUGGAAAAAUGAUUUUAUGAAAUUGAUUGUUUUUAUUCUUUUUAAAUAAAUCAUUAUUUUCACAUUAUAAAUGUUUCAUAUUUAAUGGAAAAAUGAUUUUAUGAAAUUGGUUGUUUUUCAAAGUUUAUGGUUUAAUUGAAAGAAUUUUGAAAACUUUGAAAUAAACAAGUAUUGCUUGAAAUUUUGGUAAAGGACUUAUGUGUAAAGUGUCAUAGCAUUUUUGGCUAUAUCAUAAUUUCAGAAAGUUUUGGGAUUAACAAAGCAUUACUUAGAAAUUCUGAAAUUGGACAUAUUUGCAAUGUUUUAUAACGUUUUGGGCCGUAACACAGUUUUAUAAAGUUUGGGGGUCAAACUGUGAAUUUGGAAAAUAUUUCACUGUAGCAGUUACUGUAGAAAACGGCGAUCCGACAUCUUGAUAACGGCUCGCCGACAUCUAACAGAAUUGAAGAUUAGUCUCUGGAAAUAAACGGCGAACCGACAUGUGUGAUAAACGGCUCGCCGAUAUCAACCAGUAGCCUCUGGACCUAAACGGCGAUCCGACAUAUAGUGUUAACGGCGAACCGUUUUCUGUCCGACAGUUUGUAACGGCUAGAUUUUUAGCUCUAACUAUAAAUAAGCUCAUCCAAAUUCAAACAAGAUUCAUCACAACACAACUAUUGAGCUUAUAUUUGAGAAUACAAUCUUCAUAGAGCUUUAAACACAUUCUCUCUUCAUCUAUUCACACAUUGGGCAUUGAUUUGUAAUCUUAAAUAUUGUGUGAGAGAAAAACAAUUUGUAAUCUUUUACUUUGAGUGAUUGUAAGUGUUGGGAUACACUUGGGUUAAGAGAUUGGGGAUAAUCUCUUGUUGUAAAGGUCCAUUGACACCUUGGAAGUCAAUUGUAAGCGUUUGAAGCCUUGGGAGGCUAGCUUAGUGAAAUCCUCAAGCCUGGUGAGCUUGGAGGCGUGGACGUAGGCGGUGAUUGCCGAACCACGUAAAAAUCAUUGUGUUUGUUUUUCUCUUCCCCUACUCUUUUAAUAUUGUGCAUGAUUGAAUUUAUUGUUUUCGAAUUGAUUAAGGCAAUAGAUUAAAUUGUUGAGCGAAUUGUACUGCAUAAUUUUUACAAUCCCAAUUCACCCCCCCUCUUGGGUUGCAUACUUGUAUUUCAGAACGAGCAGGGGCAGCGACGAGCGUGAGCAGCGGCAGCAGCAGUGACGAGUUCAGGGGCUGAAGGUCACAAGUUCAGUGGCUGAAGUGAAGAUCAGUUUACUCACUUUAGGUUUAGUUUAGGGAUUCCGAAUUAUUAUUCGGUUUAUUUGAUAAUCGGUUCAGUUUUUCGACAAUUCACCCCCCCUCUUGGGUUGCAUACUUGUAUUUCAGAACGAGCAGGGGCAGCGACGAGCGUGAGCAGCGGCAGCAGCAGUGACGAGUUCAGGGGCUGAAGGUCACAAGUUCAGUGGCUGAAGUGAAGAUCAGUUUACUCACUUUAGGUUUAGUUUAGGGAUUCCGAAUUAUUAUUCGGUUUAUUUGAUAAUCGGUUCAGUUUUUCGAUUUUUUUUUUAAACCGAAAACCGAACCGAUUGGUUUUACUAUUUUCUCUAUAUCACUAAUUCGGUUUUUUGGGUGUAAAAAAACCGUAAAAAACCCGAACCGAACCGAACGGUUCGGUUCGAUUUUUGAUUAAUCAACUUUUUUUGCCCACCCCUAGUUGCCGAGGAUUAAUUGUUUAUUAUGAUUUGUGAAAAUUAAUCUUAAUGGUGUUAACUUUGAUUUUAUUUUAAUUUUCUUAUUUUGUUGACAAGAAACUCUUGCAUGCGCAAAUACAAACCUGUUGAGUUUUAAUUUGAUCCAAAAAUUGAAAGAACCACAAAGAGAUUAAGAAGAGAGCACAAAAAUUCAAAAACUGAUGCAGCAAUGGAUGACUUACAAGAUAUGGAAAACUUGAACCGUCUUGGAGAAAUACAACCAGUCAAUGGUCAAAAAGGUCAAAAUAGACAAAAUAAUCAGGGACAAUCAGGAAACAACAACAUCUUAUACACUGCAGAUGAUAGAGAUAGGGCUAUUAGAGACUAUGUCGUGUUAACCCCUCAAGUUAUGUAUCCUGGAAUAGUUAGACCUCAAGUUGAAGCAACCAAUUUUGAACUCAAACUAGUGAUAUUUCAGAUGUUGCAAACAGUGGGGUAAUUCAAUGGAUUGCCAUAAAAAGACCUUCACCUUCACCUUAAAUUAUUCUUGGAGGUGAGUGAUGCUUUUAAAAUUGCUACAGCAUCACAGGAUCCAUUAAGACUCAGAUUUUUUCCAUAUUCUUUGAGAGAUCGAGCAUGGGCAUGGUUGAACUCUUUACCACCAGAUUCCAUCAUCACAUGGAAUGAUUUGGCUAAUAAAAGUUUUGAUGAAAUAUUUCCCACCAACCAAGAAUGCCAAGUUGAGAAAUGAGAUCAUAUCUUUUCAUCAACUUGCAGAUGAACACUUGUAUGAUGCAUGAGAAAGAUUUAAAGAGAUACUAAGAAGAUGUCCUCAUCAUGGUAUACCUUGCUGCAUACAAAUAAAAAAUUUCUACGAUGGAUUGAACUCAAGCACUAGAUUGAUGGUGGAUGCUUCCGUAAAUGGAGCUUUAUUGUCUAAGUCUUAGAAUGAGGCUUAUGAGAUUUUAGAGAAAAUUGCUAACAACAAUUACCAGUGGCCAUCAACUGGACAAGUUGUAACAAGAGGAGCAGUAAGAGUACAUAAUGUAGAUGCAUUUACAGUAUUAUCAGCCCAAAUAACUUCACUGACGAAUAUGGUAAAGGUUAUGACCAUUUCUCCAGCAGUUGUCAACCAAGUUGUCGAGGUAUCUUAUGUUUAUUGUGGAGAGGGAUACUCAUUUGAAAAUUGCACAGGGAAUCCUGUUUCAGUCAAUUAUGUGGGCAACUUUAAUAGACAAAACCAGAACAAUCCAUAUUCAAAUACUUACAACCUUGGAUGGAGGCAGAACCCAAACUUUUCAUGAAGCAACCAGAAUCAGCCUGCUGCAGCACUAGUGGCUAGAAGAAACAGGCACAACCACCAAGAUUUCACUAAACAAAUCAAGGGCAAAUGAACACAAACAAUUAUCAACUUAGUUCACUUGAAGUUUUGCUUAAGGAAUACAUCGUGAAAAAUGAAGCAGUUGUCCAAAGCCAAGCUGUAACCUUAAAGAAUCUAGAAAAUCAUAUUGAACAACUUGCUACAGCAUUGAGUAACAGACCUCAGGACAGUUUACCCAACAACACAGAAGAUCUAAGGAGAUAAAGAAAAGAACAUUGUAAGGUAAUUAACUUACGAUUUGGAAAAGAUAUUGAUAUAUCUGUUGGUGUGCCAAAGAGAAAAAUAAAACUUAUUUCAACCCAAGACGAAACUCAAGUUGAAAAAGAACUACAACAACCCAAUUUCCAAUAAACUGGUGAAAGUAGUCAAGCUACAGAAACUUCAAAAAGAAAUGAUUCAGUUCCUAUUGAAGAAGAAGUUGCAACACCAGCAACAAUAAAUCAGAACAGAUUAAAAGAAAACCAAAAUGCACCAUCUGCUGCAGUACGGCAAUUUAGAUACCCACCACCUUUCUAACAAAGAUUUUAAAAGCAGAAACAAGACAAGCAAUUCAGCUAAUUCUUGGAAGUACUAAAACAAUUGCAUAUCAACAUUUCUUUUGUGGAAGCAUUGGAACAAAUGCCCAAUUACGUGAAGUUUUUAAAGGAUAUUUUGGUAAAAAAGAAAAGGCUUGGAGAAUUUGAAAUUGUUUGCUCUAAUACAAAAAUGCAGGCAUAUGCUUCAAAAUAAACGAUCAGGGAGUUUUACAAUUCCAUGCUCUAGUGGAACUAGGUAUAAUAGUAGAGUACUUUGUGAUUUGGGGGCCAGCAUAAAUCUCAUGCCCUUAUCUGUGUUCAAGCAAUUGGGAGUGGGCGAAUGCAGACUAACAACAAUGACUUUAUAGCUGGCUGACAGAUCUCAUGCAUACCCUGAGGGAAAGAUCGAAGAUGUAUUAGCAAAGGUGGAUAAAUUUAUUUUUCCAAUGGAUUUCAUUGUAUUGGAUUUUGAAGCAGACAAAGAGGUACCAAUUAUUCUUGAUAGACCUUUCUUAGUCACAGAAAAAACUCUAAUUGAUGUACAAAAAUGAGAAUUAACUAUAAGAGUGAAUGACCAACAAGUCACAAUCAAUGUAUUGGAUGCUAUGAAGAAUCCCAAUGAGAUUGAAGAUUGUAAUUUCAUUAAUGUUGUGGACAUUGCUGUGACAAAAAGGUUAAACAAUUAGUGCAGCAAAGAAGAUAUCAAAGCUGCUACCUUUGAAAAGCUUGAAGAAGAGGAUGUUGCAACAACACACAUAGCAUGGAUAGAAGAAAAGCAACCAGUGAGACAUGAUAGACCUUUUGAAUCUCUAGACCUCUCAAACAAAGAAGUAAACAAUUUGUUCCAUCUGUUGAAUCAUCCCCUAUUUUAGAGUUGAAACUUUUACCUUCACAUCUAAAAUAUGUUUAUCUUGGCAAAAAUAACAUACUCCAUGUAAUCAUUUCAUCUUCUUUAAAUGUAGAUCAAGAGAAGAGUGAUUAGUAUUAAAAAUUGUUUAAUUAUCAAGCGAUAUUAUGUUAUUUUAUGCUUAUGUUAUAAUUUAUAUUUGUGUUUAUGUAAUAUAUUAGGAAUUAUUAAUUAUGUUUUAAAUAUAUUUAAUUUUGUGUAUUUUUAUGUGUUUAUUAGGAAAAAUAUUAAUUUCACGUAAUUCGAGGCUCCAAACAGAUAAACGGAGGUCAAAUUUGGAUUCUGGAGGUCCAAAAAUCUUAAGAUCAGUCAAGAUCGGCUUAAAAUUUGGCUUGUGUAAAACAAAGUUGACUUUUCCUAUUGACCGAGCACUGAUUGGAUGAUGAAAUGAGCUUACAAUAGAUAUGAGUGUAUGGGAUAGCUGGCAAUUUUGACUAAAUCUCAACUGUUCAUUAUUCAAUGGCCAUGAUUGUGCCACGUGGUAAUGGUUGGUGAAGCAAGUUGUAGGAUCCGAAACUUUGUAUUUGGGUCGACCCGAUCCACCCAUCAACCCGCCAAAUCUCAAUCGUUCUUUGGGCAAAUCGAACGAGUCAAACGAUGCCAUGUGUGAUGUUGACUUUUGAAGUUUGACCAGCCAUUGGAUCUUGAUCUAAAGGUUGUGAGGAGCACAUGCAUGAAGCUUAUAAUGGACCGCAAAGCACUAGAUUAUGAAUUUAUUUUUCUAUAAAUAGAGCCUCAUUUUUAUGUUUUUAAUAAUCUCUCUACAACUCUCUUCUUCUCAAAUUCUCUCCAUCUCCUUGUAAUCUUGAUUUUUAGGUGUGUUUUUAAUAUUUUGUAUAAUUAUUUUUAUAAAUAAAAUUAGUUUUAUUUCUAAUUUUAGUUGUUUUAUUACUUUUAAUUAUAAGUAAUUCAAUUUUACUACUUCUUUUUAUUUUAAUUAUGCUUAACUAAAUAAUAUUAGUUAGGGGAAGGUGAAACUCUUAGGAAAUAAAUAUGAUUUAAGCAAAUUCUAUUUUUAAUUUUAUAAAUUAAAUUAUUUUCUAUUUAAUUUUAUACAUAUUUUAUAUUUUGAAAUUUUGAUUUAUUGUAGACAAACAAAUGAAUUUGGCACAAUAAAUUCUUAAUAUCUUAAUAUAAGGUAUGAUAAAAUGGUAUUUUGACUUAUUAUAGACAAAUUAAAUUUUGGCAUAAUAAAUACUUAAUCCAUAAUAAAAUUAAAGGGAAAAUAAUAAUAAUUUAUAUAAUUAAUCUUUUGGGCAAAAAAUCUAAAAAAAAGGCAAAAAGAAUUUAUUAAGUUUUAUUUACUUUUAAGAGUGGAUCCAUAACCCUAACUAGUUCAAUUUCAUAGUUUCAUUUAAAUUAAGUUGUUUAUAUUUAAGUUUUAAUUUCAAUUUUUAGUUAAAAUAAAAUAAACAAAUUAAAUUUUUUCUCUGUGGAUCGACCUCGGAUUCACCGAAUUUUAAUACAACAAGACACUCUUAUAUUUAGGAGUUAAAAAUUACUUUUAAGUUGUGUCAAGUUUUUGGCGCCGUUGCCGGGGAAAAAUUUUUAUUUUGCUUUAUUUUUCCGUUUUUGAUUUUUCUCUAUGUAAAUGUUCUUUUUGCCCCCUUUUCUUUUUCUUGAAUUCUCUUUUGUCCCUGUAUCUUUCAUAAUUCUCGUUUCACCCCAACAAUUCUCGUUUCUAGCCCAAUCUUCUAGUAAUUAUAUUAUGACCCCAACCUCUUUCAGUUAUUUCACUUUCAUCCCAAAUUGCUCAAUUCUAGACUUCUAAAAAUUACAGUGUGGCCAUAAAAUUAAAAAUAAUUUGCAAUCGAAUCCCUAGACGAAAUUCCUCAAAAUAAUCGAGACUUGGACUUACAUCUUGGAAAUACUUUGGACAUAUUUGGACUUAUUUUGGACUUAAUUUGGACCAAACUAACUUUAACUACUAACACUAAUUACUAACUCUUAACUUACUAAUUGCUAACUCCUAAUUUAUAUUUUUUUAAUUUCAAUUAUUUAAUUUUCUGCAUUUAUUUUAUUUCGUAUUUAUUUAUUUAUUUUUGCUUUAUUGGUGGGUUCAACCACCAAACUAACUACUAACUCUUAAUUUUUAUUUUCAGUAUUUAUUUAAUUUUGUAUUUUUUUGCUUUAUUUUUUUUAAUUGGUGGGUUCAACCACCAUUUUUUUUAUUUUGCAUUUAUUUAUUUAUUUAUUUUUACUUUAUUGGUGGGCUCAACCACCAUUUUUUUCUUUUUCUUUCUUUUGCAUUUAUUUUAUACUUAAUUUAUUGUUAAUUGGUGGGUUCAACCACCAAAAUUGUUAUUUAAUUUUCUUUUGUACACUUAUAUUAUUUGCAUAUUUAAUUUUUUUAUUUUGUUAUUAAUUUAUGUAAAUAUUAUCUUUAUAACAUAACCAUUGCAUGAGACGUUGGUCUCGAUCUUCAAGUGGUAAGUUAAUUCGUAGAUCUCAAUCUCCACCACCAAUCAUGGAUGAGAAUCAAGGUGAAAACGAUUUGGGCGAACUUAAUCCUCAAAUUGAUCAGGGAAACAACCAAUCUCAACAUGGGCAUGAUCAGAAUCAACCAAGAACUCUGAGAGACUACAUGAAUCCAACCAGAACCGGAGCACCGUCGUGUAUAGUAUUUCCUCCAGAAGCAUCUCGAUUCAACUUUAAACUAGGUAUUAUCCAACUUUUACCAACAUUUCAUGGUUUAGAAUCGGAGAAUCCAUACUUGCAUCUAAGAGAUUUUGAGGAAGUUUGUAAUACAUACACGGACCAAAAUUGUAGCAUGAACAUAAUUAGAUUAAAGCUUUUUCCUUUUUCAUUAAAAGAUAAAGCUAAAACUUGGCUACAAAACCUUAGAUCUGGAUCAGUAAGAACUUGGAAUAACAUGCAAGAACAGUUUUUGAAAAAAUUCUUUCCACCUCAUAGAACAAAUUCUUUUAAAAGGAAAAUCACUUCUUUCACUCAAAAAAAUGGAGAAACAUUAUACCAAUGUUUUAAAAAGUAUAAAAAUGCAAUUGGAUGGACUUCUGCUGUACGGCCAAGGCGGAUGUACGGUACAGCAGUGGUGAAUUUAGGGAUAAAAAUCCUGAGGAUGCACUAGACUACCUUGACCAAUUAGCUAAAAAUGCACAACAUUGGGAUACUGUUGGAACUUUUGAAUUGACAAAUAAGCAACAAUCAUCUCCAUCUAGUGGAGGAAUCCAUAACCUUAGGGAAGAUCAUGAUUUACAAGUAAAAUUUGUAUCCAUAGUUAGGAAAGUUGAAGCUUUGGAGCAUAAAAAGAGUGAUCAAGUAAAAUCUGUUGAAGAAAUUGCAUGUAACAUAUGUAGUUCGAAUGAUCAUUUCACUCAAGAGUGUCCCACUUUGCCUGCACUUAAAGAAUGUCUAAAUGAUCAAGUUAAUGUCAUUAACACUUUCAAUAAACCAAACCCAUAUUCACAGACUUAUAAUCCUGCUUGGAGAAAUCAUCUGAAUUUCAGUUGGAGGAAUAAUAACAAUGCACAAUCUUCACAAGCACCACCUCCACAAAAUUUUCAAAAUCCUCAGCCUUAUGCACCAUAUGUUCCACCACCCUGGAAAAAUAUGGAAGACACAAUGCAUUCAUUCAUCAGAAAGCAAGAUAUUAUUAACAAUUAAAAUGCACAAACUUUUUUCUGAUUUGAAAGAUACUCUUGCUAAAAUUGCUUCUGCACUCACCAUUCAAGAAAAAGGAAAAUUUCCAGCCCAACCACAACCAAAUCCUAAGACUCAACAAAAUCCACCCACAGACCAAGUCAAGUCAAUUAUAAAUCUUUGUAGUGUUAAGGUUGUUGAUAAACCUAUGCCUGAACCUUGUGAAAAUAAUGAAAAUUCAAAGGGUAAAGAAGGACUAAAUGAACUUACACCUAGUGAAGAAAUAACUAGUGUUCCACCUGAACCACCAUUUCCGCAUGCAUUGAAUAAACCAAGGAAAUCAAACCACUCUUCUGAAAUUUAUGAAAUCUUUAAGCAAGUGAAAGUUAACAUUCCUCUAUUAGAUGCAAUCAAGCAGGUACCUUCAUAUGCCAAAUUUUUAAAGGACUUGUGCACUGUUAAGAGGAAAUUGAAGGUAAGAAAGAGUGCUUUCAUGGCCGAACAGGUAAGUACAAUUAUGUCUACUAAUAAUAAGUUGAAAUAUAAAGAUCCUGGUUGUCCUACCAUUUCUUGUAUUAUUGGUAACCACAGAAUUGAGCAUGCUUUAUUAGAUCUUGGUGCUAGUGUUAAUUUGCUUCCAUAUUCAGUUUAUCUUCAACUUAAUCUUGGUGAGUUAAAAUCAACUUCAACUACACUUUUGCUUGCCGAUAGAUCCGUUAAAGUACCAAAAGGAAUAGUGGAAGAUGUUUUAGUACAAGUUGAUAAAUUUAUUUAUCCUGUGGAUUUUAUUGUCUUGGAAACUGAACCUGUUGUGAAUAAUUACAAACCAAUUCCUGUAAUUUUAGGUCGACCAUUUUUAGCAACUGCUAAUGCUUUGAUUAAUUGUAGGAAUGGUUUAAUGAAUUUAUCUUUUGGGAAUAUGACUUUGGAAUUGAAUGUUUUCAACAUGUGCAGGCAACCUAAUGAAGAAAAUGAGAAUGAAGAUGAUACUGAUGAACAAAAGGAAUUGUUUGAAUCUUGUAUCGAGGAAAAUAUUCAAAAAGGGGAUUUUUCUGAACUUUCUAAUGUUUGUUUAGUUAAUUCAAUUGAGUCAAAUAAGCAACUUGAACUUGAUAUUUCUAAUAUAAAUUCGUUGCUUGAUUCUAUGCAGACUUCGCAAAAUUAUGAUGACGAGCCAAAAUUUGAGGAGCUUGGAAGUAUUGAAAAGACAGAACAACAAGACGCACCUAAAAUGGAAUUGAAACCUUUGCCUGAAGGAUUGAAAUAUGCUUUUCUUGGAGAAGAACAAACUUAUCCUGUUGUGAUUUCUUCUACUUUAACAAGCGACCAAGAAGGUAAGUUACUAAUUGUUCUUAAAAAGCAUAAAAAUGCAAUAGGAUGGACUUUAAAUGACAUUAAAGGCAUUAAUCCCUUAAUCUGCACACAUAGAAUUAAUUUGGAAGAAAAUGCUAAAAUAUGUCAGCAACCUCAAAGAAGAUUAAACCCACACAUGAAAGAGGUAGUCAAAACAGAAGUCCUUAAAUUACUUGAUGUGGGAAUUAUCUACCCUAUUUCUGAUAGUAAGUGGGUAAGUCCUACACAAGUAGUGCCUAAAAAAUCUGGAAUCACUGUUGUUAAAAAUGAAAAAGGUGAAUUAAUUCCAACACGAAUUACAUCUAGUUGGCGCAUGUGCAUUGAUUAUAGAAAAUUAAAUGAAGCCACUAGAAAAGAUCAUUUUUCAUUACCAUUUCUUGACCAAAUCUUAGAAAGAGUAGCAGAACAUCCAUACUAGUGUUUUUUAUAUGGAUAUUCAGGUUAUUAUCAAAUUCCUAUAGCACUUGAGGACCAAGAAAAGACCACAUUUACAAGUCCUUUUGGAACAUUUGUAUUUAAAAGAAUGUCAUUUAGGUUUUGUAAUGCUCCUAAAACAUUUCAAAGAUGUAUGUUAGCAUUUUUUGUGAUAUGGUUGAACAUUGUUUAGAGGUCUUUAUGAAUGAUUUGACUGUGUUUGGGAAUUCUUUUGAUGAUUGCCUUGAUAAUUUGGAGAAAGUUUUAAAAAAGAUGUGUUGAAAAAGAACUUGUGUUGAAUUGGGAAAAAUGUCACUACAUGGUUACUUUUGGAAUUGUUUUGGGUCAUAUUGUUUCUAUUAAAGGAAUUGAAGUUGACAAAGCAAAAAUCGAAGUCAUAUCUAAAUUGCCACAACCAAAAACAGUUAGAGAUGUGCGAUCCUUUUUAGGACAUGCAGGAUUUUAUAGGAGGUUUAUAAAAAACUUUAGUGCCAUAUCUAAACCACUUUGUAACCUCUUAUUAAAAGAUGCACCGUUUGAAUGGAAUGAUGAUUGCCAAAAAUCUUUUGAAAAAAUAAUUUGUCUUUUAACAUCUGCACCUAUUAUGCAAUCUCCUGAUUGGUCUUUGCCAUUUGAACUAAUGUGUGAUGCAAGUGAUUUUGCUGUUGGUGCUGUUUUAGGACAAAGAAGGGAUGGUAAGCCUUUUGUGAUUUAUUAUGCGAGCAAGACUUUGGAUAGUGCUCAAAUGAAUUAUUCUACAACUGAAAAAGAAUUACUUGCUAUGGUAUUUGCAUUAAACAAAUUUCGUUCAUAUUUGCUUGGCUCUAAAUCUGUUGUGUUUACUGACCACGCUGCUGUGAGAUAUUUGAUGAGUAAACAGGAUGCCAAACCGAGACUAAUUCGUUGGAUUUUGUUACUACAAGAAUUUAACCUUACCAUCAAAGAUAAAAAGGGUGCUGAAAAUGUUGUUGCUGAUCAUCUAUCAAGACUCACAUCCGAAUUCUGCAAUGAUAUAACACCCAUAAAUGAUUCUUUCCCUGAUGAAUUUUUAUUUUCUGUUACUUCAAUGCCAUGGUAUGCUAACAUUGUUAAUUUCCUUGUUACAGGUAAAAUGCCUUUGCAAUGGAAUGCUCAAGAGAAAAAGAAAUUUUUUGUUGAAGUAAAGAAAUUUUAUUGGGAUGAUCCUUAUUUGUUCAAAUAUUGCCCAGAUCAAAUUUUUCGGCGAUGUAUUCCUGAUAAUGAGGUAAGUAGUGUCAUUAAUUUUUGUCAUUCUGAAGCAUGUGGUGGUCAUUUUUCUUCAAGAAAAACUACUGCUAAAAUUUUACAGUGUGGAUUUUAUUGGCCUACCAUGUUUAAAGACACAUAUGAAUUUUGCAAAAGUUGUCUGCUGUACCGUACAUCCGCCUUGGCCGUACAGCAGUUUGUAAUAAGUCAUUUGAGUCUUUAAUGAAGAAAUAUGGAAUUACACAUAAAAUUGCUACCCCUUAUCAUCCUCAAACAAAUGGUCAAGUUGAAUUAGCAAAUAGGGAGAUAAAACAAAUUUUGGAAAAAACAGUUAACCCAAAUCGAAAAGAUUGGUCUCUUAGACUUAAUGAUGCACUUUGGGCUAUUAAAGCGUAUUGCAUUUAAAACGUCAUUAGGAAUGUUACCCUAUCGGUUAGUUUAUGGUAAACCUUGUCAUUUAUUUGUUGAACUUGAACAUAAAUCACUUUGGGCUAUUAAAGCUUUUAAUUCAAAUUUGGAUGAUGCUGGUAAUGUGCGAAAAUUGCAAUUGAAUGAACUUGAGAAAUUAAGGAAUGAUGCAUAUGAAAAUUCAAAAAUCAUUAAGGCAAGAACAAAAGCAUUUCAUGAUAAAAGAAUGUUUCGAAAAACAUUUGAGAUUGGUCAAAAAGUGUUGCUUUAUAAUUUUCGUCUUCAUUUAUUUCCAGGAAAGUUAAAGUCAAAAUAGAGUGGCCCAUUUGUUGUAAAAAAGAUAUAUUCAUAUGGGGCCAUAGAAAUUGAGAAUCCAAAGAACGGUGUCACAUUUAAAGUAAAUGGUCAAAGAUUAAAACCAUAUCUGGAACAUCACCCACGUGACGAGGACACCGAAAUUAAUUUGGGUGACCCACCAGUUCUUGAUUAAGUCUUUAACGAUUGAUUUUUUUUUGUUUUGCUAUUAUUUUGCCGUUUCAUUGUUUGAUUUUUUUUUCUAGAUUGAUGCACUGUACAUAUUUUUUUAACAUUAUUUUUCUUGUGUAAGUUAUUUUUCUUGUGUAAAAGUGUUUGUUUGACAGUUGUACAUUCUCUCAUCAAUUUUCAUUUUACAUCAUGAGCACCUCAAUGAGAAAAUUCUUGUUCGCACAUCUUAAAAGAUUUCUUCGUGUGAAAUUUCACUUGAGCGGCCUGAUACAAAGCUGUAAAUCACAUCCACUUUGGGAUCUGCAACCACCAGAAUUCGUGUCCUAUGUUGAGGAUCUAGAGGGACAACUCAGAGCAGUAGAGCGUGGCAUAUAUGAAUUUCAAUUGGAGCUUGAGAUUAACUCAAUGAGAGGACGAAUGUAAGUUCAUUUUCCUUUUAUAUUGUGUGCUUCUUUUUGCUCGCUUUCAUGUUUAAUUUGAUUUUGCAGAUUUGAUUUUGGUGUGUUUUGAUUUAUUUUCCCAUAUAAAUGGCGGAUAACGGUACUCUAUGACUUCUUAAGUCGGUAUCUUCAGUUUCCCACAAUAACUGAAACCCCAAAAUCAAACAUGAAAGACAUACAAUAUAAACUCCAUAAGCAUUUUCCCUCUCUCCCUCAGAAUGCCCUCAGGAAAAUUUACAAAGCUCGUUGUGAACGACUGCGUUUGUUAAUGAUCAAUGGCAUUCAUUCUGACAUUCGUUGGUUAAUUGAAGCAAAGGUUCGAUUAGCAGGUGAGUUUUCUGAUCCAUUUGUUUCUUACAUGCCUGGUUUUGGUAAAAGUACGUGACACAACUUAAAAGUAAUUUUUAACUCCCAAGUAUAAGAGUGUCUUGUUGUAUUAUAACUCGGUGAGUCCGAGGUCGAUCCACAGAGAAAAGAUUUAAUUAGUUUAUUUUAUUUUAUCUAAAAAUUGAAAUUAAAACUUGAAUAUAAACAACUUAAUUUAAAUGAAACUAUGGAAUUGAACUAGUUAGGGUUAUGGAUCCACUCUUAGAAAUAAAUAAAACUUAAUAAAUUCUUUUUGCCAAUUUGUUUUAGAUUUAUUACCCAAAAGAUUAAUUAUACAAAUUAUUAUUAUUUUCCCUUCAAUUUUAUGAUGGAUUAAGUAUUUAUUGUGCCAAAAUUUAAUUUGUCUACAAUAAGUCAAAAUACCAUUUCACCAUGCCUUAUAUUAAGAUCUUAAGAAUUUAUUGUGCCAAAUUCAUUUGUUUGUCUACAAUAAAUCAAAAUUUCAAAAUAUAAAACAUGUAUAAAAUUAAAUAGAAAACAAUUUAAUUUAUAAAAUUAAACAUAGAAUUUGAUUAAAUCAUAUUUAUUUCUUAAGAGUUUCACCUUCCCCUAACUAAUAUUAUUUAGUUAAGCAUAAUUAAAAUAAAAACUGCUGUACCGUACAUCCGCCUUGGCCGUACAGCAGCUAUUGCCCACCCGUUUUUAGGCCAUUUUUCCGCUGGGGGUUUUGGCACCACGACCUUCGGGCGCUUAUUUUUGGGCGCGGCUUUGCCCGCGGCUUAUUUUUGGCACCCCGAGGCCCCUCGCAAAGUCUCGCCCCAUUCCGAGUCCGGCGGACGAACUUCGCCCGCGCCCCCCACCAAGGCUAUAGCCCACCCGUUUUGUGGCCAUUUUUCCGCUGGGGGGUUUGGGCACCACGACCUUCGGGCACUUAUUUUUGGGCGCGGCUUUGCCCGCGGCUUAUUUUUGGCACCCCGAGGCCCCUCGCAAAGUCUCGCCCCAUUCCGAGUCCGGCGGACGAACUUCGCCCGCGCCCCCCACCAAGGCUAUAGCCAUUAAGAUUUAUAAAAUUCACAUGCAAGUUAAUAGUUGUUCAUCUAUCCUCUAAAUUACCAAAUAAAUGAACUCUCCCAAAUUUCUUUACCACAUUGAUGUUCACUCAUUAUCCAGAAUAUCAUCAAACCUUCUUUUGUGCUCAAGUAAUUAACACAAUACUUAUGGGGCUUCAUUAAAGAAAAACAAUAUUUUCGUUCCAAAAUUCAUUAGAAAUUAUAUCUUUAGGCAAUAGAUUAUUCACACAUAUUUUUUUUUAAAUAUUACAUUUCUAACCCGUGUAGCGAGCUUUAGGUCAGUGACUCCCAGACCAGUUAGCCUUAGGGCACUAGGUGUUGAAGCACCCCUUCGGACUUAAUUACUCGGGUUUCUAAUAAACAAACAAUAUAUAUAUUACCCAUGUAGCGAGUUUUAGGCCAAUGACUCCCAGACCAGUUGACCUUAAGGCACUAGGUGUUGAAACACCCCUACGGACUUAAUUACUCGGGUUUCUAGAUAUAACAAAAUUAAAAACAUUUUUUUCUUCUUUUUUUUUUUGAAAUAUACACUUUCUACUACCUUAGAUAAUAUAUCUAAUAAAUCAAAAGAACUAAAUGCUGUAAAAUUUUAACUUACAACCCACUAGUAUGUGUCAUAAUGUGUGUGUGAAGAAUGAUUCAAUAAUAUCUGUUAAAUGAGUAAACAAUUACAUAACUUAAUAACCAAGUGGAGAGUUCACAAAUUUGAGUAAUUCAAAGAAAAUAGAACAAAAAAAAACUUACUGUGAAUCUCAAAAUCAAAAUAUAAUACAACAAGACUAUUAGAAUGCGUCUCAAAAGUUGUUACUCUUUACAUAGCCAUCCUAGACAAAAAACAAAAAUGUUUUUUUUUGUUUUUUUUUAACAAAGAAAAGAAAAGAGAAAAGAGAAAAACAACACACAUAUUUAAAAACAUACAUCAAUUAUCCCCACCCCACAACCUAAUCUAAACAUUAUCUUAACAUUUUAUAAUUUUACAAAUAUGCAAAAAAUAAUAAUAAUAAUAAUAAAAGAGAAAAAUAAAAGAAGAAGAAGAGGAGAUCUCACCUGAACUUGAUGCAGAAGCUUAAAAACGGAUAACAAAGAUGAAGAAAAAGUCAAUUUUUUUUUUAACAACACCCUUAAGAUUAAGAAGAUGCGUUUCUAGAUAUACUACAUUCUCUAUAUCCUGCCAUCUUCGACUCAAAUUUGUCCUAAGUUAGUCUUUACAGAAAAAAAAAUUUUUUUUUUUAUGUAAACACAUCACCAGGACCAAGACAUUCCACAAUUAUCAACUAUUCCCCCCCCCCACCUGAAAAAGACAUUGUCCUCAAUGUUUUAAAAGGAAAGAGAAAGAGUUUAGAAGACAGCACAUAAAUACUGCAACAAAAAAUAUUUACAGACGGAGAGUUAAAUCUAAAUCGCACUUCUUAUUACUGCUAUUGUUACCACUACCAUCAUCAGCCGACCAAUUCAGUGCAAAAGUAUUUUGAUCUGGCUCUGGUGUAUAAGCUUGUAAAAGAUCAAGUAACUCAUUAGCAGUAGAAGCACAGAUAAAGAGUUUUUUUACAGAAUGUGGAACAAAAUGAUUCUUUAUUGCAUGGUUAAUAAAAGUUAGCAAGCCAUCAUAAAAAUUAUUAAUAUUUAACAAACCGAUGGGUUUUUGAUGAAUGUUCAAGUGGGCUCAAGAUGCAAAUGUAAUCAGUGCCUCAAAAGUUGCAAGAUCUCCUGGCAAGAAAAUAAAAGCAUCAGCAUGACUCAUCAUUUAAGAUAUUCUCUCUUGCAUACUUGAUACCACUAAUUAUUCUCCAAUUGGUGGGCCAGACAUGCACACUAGCGGUUUCAUGGGUUUUGGGAUAAUGGCGAGUACUUGGCUUCCUCUGGUAAAAACAGCUUCUGAGACAAGUCUUGAUAACCCUCGUUCACCUCCUCCAUAUACAAGAUGCAGUUUCCUCUCUGCUAUGACACGACCAAGAUCUACAGCUGCCUGAACGAACUCUUUGUACUUUCCAUAGUGAAACCCAGAAAGCACACAAAUGUUUUUGAAUUGUUUACUCGAAGAUGCUGCCAUUGGACUAAUUUUUUCAAAAACAAGUUGUGAGUGUUUGAAAAACGAGCUCAUAUUUAAAGAUCUUGGUGACAUAAAUAAUGAGAAACAGCUGUAAAUGGGUUGGCAUAUUUGUCAAAUGACGAGUAAAGCUCGUGGCUCAAUAAUUCAAAAACAAACAGUAAAAAGAAAAUAAUGAUUAGAAAUAACAAACAGUAAAAGAAAACAAAUAUUUAUUAAAUACAAAAUCACAUCGCUAAAUGUAAUAAUGCAAAUGGUAUAAUAACAGUAAAGUAAAAUAACAGUGAAGUGAAAGGAUAUGUACUGGUAGUUGUGAUUGUGGCUCACAUCUUCCUCUGGUUUUACAUCCAGUAACGGCUUGAACGCCCUCUAUGGGUCGAGGAUCGGCUUCCCAUCCAGUUUUCUUAUAAACUGGCAAACAUGGUCUUUUUGAGUCAGAUUCCCAAGACUUAACUGUGCACUUUGUUUUUGGAAUAGUAUCCACAAAUUGUAAAUCUCACGUUGCACAAAUCCGCUUCGAUGCGUCUCAAGAGAUCCUAAGAUAUCAUCCAACGAUUCUUUACUCAUGCCAUCUUUAACGAAUUUAAUUUUAUCUUCACGAGUAUCAGAAACCAUUCCUAAAGAUUUACAAUCCAGUCGUUUGCAACCAAGUCUUACACAGUUAUGACAUUUUGAGCCAAGUCGUUUAGCUCUCCUUUUCUAAACCAGGCAUGUAAGAAACAAAUGGAUCAUGUAAGAAACAAAUGGAUCAGAAAACUCACCUACUAAUCGGACUUUUGCUUCAAUUAACCAACGAAUGUCAGAAGGAAUGCCAUUGAUCAUUAACAAACGCAGUCGUUCACAACGAGCUUUGUAAAUUUUCCUGAGGGCAUUCUGAGGGAGAGAGGGAAAAUGCUUAUGGAGUUUAUGUUGUAUUUCUUCCAUGUUUGAUUUUGGGGUUUCAGUUAUUGUGGGAAACUGAAGAUACCGACUUAAGAAGUCACGGAGUACCGUUAUCCGCCAUUUAUACGGGAAAAUAAAUCAAAACACACCAAAAUCAAAUCUGCAAAAUCAAAUCAAGCGUGAAAGCGAGCAAAAAAAAAAACACACAAUAUAAAAGGAAAAUGAACUUACAUUCAUCCUCUCAUUGAGUUAACCUCAAACUCCAUUUGAAAUUCAUAUAUGCCACUCUCUACUGUUCUGAGUUGUCCCUCUAGAUCCUCAACAUAGGACACGAAUUCAGGUGGUUGCAGAUCCCAAAGUGGAUGUGAUUUAUAGCUUUGUAUCAGGCCUCUUAAGUGAAAUUUUAUACGCAUAAAUCUUUUAAUAUAUGCAAACAGGUAUUUUCUCAUUGAGGUGCUCAUGAUGUAAAAUGAAAAUUGAUGAGAGAAUGUACAACUGUCAAACAAACACGCUUACACAAGAAAAACAAUGUUAAAAAAAACUAUGUACAGUGCAUCAAUCUAGAGAAAAAAAAAAUCAAACAAUGAAACAAUAAAAUAAUAGUAAAACAAAACAAAAAUAAAAUAAAAUAAAUCAUUAAAGAGUUAAUCAAGAACUGGUGGGUCACCUAAAUUAAUUUUCGUGUCCUUGUCAUGUGGGUGAUGUUCCAGAUAUGGUUUUAAUCUUUGACCAUUAACUUUAAAUGUGACACCAUUCUUUGGAUUCUCAAUUUCUAUGGCCCCAUGUGAAUAUAUAUUUUUUACAACAAAUGGGCCACUCCAUUUUGACUUUAACUUCCCUUGAAAUAAAUGAAGACGAGAAUUAUAAAGAAAUACUUUUUGACCAAUCUCAAAUGUUUUUCGAAAAAUUCUUUUAUCAUGAAAUGCUUUUGUUCUUGCCUUAAUAAUUCUUGAAUUUUCAUAUGCAUCAUUCCUUAAUUCCUCAAGUUCAUUCAAUUGCAAUUUUCGCACAUUACCAGCAUCAUCCAAAUUUGAAUUAAAAGCUUUAAUAGCCCAAAGUGAUUUAUGUUCAAGUUCAACAGGUAAAUGACAAGGUUUACCAUAAACUAACCGAUAGGGUGACAUUCCUAAAGACGUUUUAAAUGCAGUACGGUAAGCCCAAAGUGCAUCAUUAAGUCUAAGAGACCAAUCUUUUCGGUUUGGGUUAACCGUUUUUUCCAAAAUUUAUUUUAUCUCCCUAUUUGCUAAUUCAACUUGACCAUUUGUUUGAGGAUGAUAAGGGGUAGCAAUUUUAUGUGUAAUUCCAUAUUUCUUCAUUAAAAACUCAAAUGACUUAUUACAAAAAUGCUUACCACCAUCACUGAUAAUGGCUCGAGGGAUUCCAAAUCGACUUAAAAUAUUUUCUCUUAAAAAUUUAAUCACAGUUUUACUAUCAUUAUUUCGACAAGAAAUUGCUUCAAUCCAUUUUGAGACAUAAUCAACUGCAACUAAUAUAUACACAAAUCCAAAAGAUGAUGGAAAUGGACCCAUGAAAUCAAUUCCCCAACAGUCAAAUAUUUCAAUUUCAAGUAUGGGAUUUAAGGGCAUCAUGUUUCUUUUUGUAAUUGAUCCCAAUUUUUGACAUUUUUCACAACUUUUACACUUGAUAGAUGAUCAGCAACAACAUUUUCAACACCUUUUUUAUCUUUGAUGGUAAGGUCAAAUUCUUGUAGUAACAAAAUCCAACGAAUUAGUCUCGGUUUGGCAUCCUGUUUACUCAUCAAAUAUCUCACAGCAGCAUGGUCAGUAAACACAAUAGAUUUAGAGCCAAGCAAAUAUGAACGGAAUUUGUUUAAUGCAAAUACCACAGUAAGUAAUUCUUUUUCAGUUGUAGAAUAAUUCAUUUGAGCACUAUCCAAAUUCUUACUCGCAUAAUAAAUCACAAAAGGUUUACCAUCCUUUCUUUGUCCUAAAACAGCACCAACAGCAAAAUCACUUGCAUCACACAUUAGUUCAAAUGGCAAAGACCAAUCAGGAGAUUGCAUAAUAGGUGCAGAUGUUAAAAGACAAAUUAUUUUUUCAAAGGAUUUUUGGCAAUCAUCAUUCCAUUCAAACGGUGCAUCUUUUAAUAAGAGGUUACAAAGUGGUUUAGAUAUGGCACUAAAGUUUUUUAUAAACCUCCUAUAAAAUCCUGCAUGUCCUAAAAAGGAUCGCACGUCUCUAACUGUUUUUGGUUGUGGCAAUUUAGAUAUGACUUCGAUUUUUGCUUUGUCAACUUCAAUUCCUUUAAUAGAAACAACAUGACCCAAAACAAUUCCAGAAGUAACCAUGUAGUGACAUUUUUCCCAAUUCAACACGAGUUCUUUUUCAACACAUCUUUUUAAAACUUUCUCCAAAUUAUCAAGGCAAUCAUCAAAAGAAUUCCCAAACACAGUCAAAUCAUCCAUAAAGACCUCUAAACAAUGCUCAACCACAUCACAAAAAAUGCUUAACAUACAUCUUUGAAAUGUUGCAGGAGCAUUACAAAGCCCGAAUGGCAUUCUUUUAAAUGCAAAUGUUCCAAAUGGACAUGUAAAUGUGGUCUUUUCUUGCUCCUCAAGAGCUAUAGGAAUUUGAUAAUAGCUCCAAAGUGCAUCAUUAAGUCUAAGAGACCAAUCUUUUCGGUUUGGGUUAACCGUUUUUUCCAAAAUUUGUUUUAUCUCCCUAUUUGCUAAUUCAACUUGACCAUUUGUUUGAGGAUGAUAAGGGGUAGCAAUUUUAUGUGUAAUUCCAUAUUUCUUCAUUAAAGACUCAAAUGACUUAUUACAAAAAUGCUUACCUCCAUCACUGAUAAUGGCUCGAGGGAUUCCAAAUCGACUUAAAAUAUUUUCUCUUAAAAAUUUAAUCACAGUUUUACUAUCAUUAUUUCGACAAGAAAUUGCUUCAAUUCAUUUUGAGACAUAAUCAACUGCAACUAAUAUAUACACAAAUCCAAAUGAUGAUGGAAAUGGACACAUGAAAUCAAUUCCCCAACAGUCAAAUAUUUCAAUUUCAAGUAUGGGAUUUAAGGGCAUCAUGUUUCUUUUUGUAAUUGAUCCCAAUUUUUGACAUUUUUCACAACUUUUGCAAAAUUCAUAUGUGUCUUUAAACAUGGUAGGCCAAUAAAAUCCACACUGUAAAAUUUUAGCAGUAGUUUUUCUUGAAGAAAAGUGACCACCACAUGCUUCAGAAUGACAAAAAUUAAUGACACUACUUACCUCGUACAGCAGAAUACAUCGCCGAAAAAUUUGAUCUGGGCAAUAUUUGAACAAAUAAGGGUCAUCCCAAUAAAAUUUCUUAACUUCAACAAAAAAAUUCUUCUUCUCUUGAGCAUUUCAUUGCAAAGGUAUUUUACCUGUAACAAGAAAAUUAACAAUAUUAGCAUACCAUGGCAUUGAAGUAACAGAAAAUAAAAAUUCAUCAGGGAAAGAAUCAUUUAUGGGUGUUAUAUCAUUGCAGAAUUCGGAUGUAAGUCUUGAUAGAUGAUCAGCAACAACAUUUUCAGCACCCUUUUUAUCUUUGAUGGUAAGGUCAAAUUCUUGUAGUAACAAAAUCCAACGAAUUAGUCUCGGUUUGGCAUCCUGUUUACUCAUCAAAUAUCUCACAGCAGCAUGGUCAGUAAACACAACAGAUUUAGAGCCAAGCAAAUAUGAACGGAAUUUGUUUAAUGCAAAUACCACAGCAAGUAAUUCUUUUUCAGUUGUAGAAUAAUUCAUUUGAGCACUAUCCAAAGUCUUGCUCGCAUAAUAAAUCACAAAAGGCUUACCAUCCCUUCUUUGUCCUAAAACAGCACCAACAGCAAAAUCACUUGCAUCACACAUUAAUUCAAAUGGCAAAGACCAAUCAGGAGAUUGCAUAAUAGGUGCAGAUGUUAAAAGACAAAUUAUUUUUUCAAAAGAUUUUUGGCAAUCAUCAUUCCAUUCAAACGGUGCAUCUUUUAAUAAGAGGUUACAAAGUGGUUUAGAUAUGGCACUAAAGUUUUUUAUAAACCUCCUAUAAAAUCCUGCAUGUCCUAAAAAGGAUCGCACAUCUCUAACUGUUUUUGGUUGUGGCAAUUUAGAUAUGACUUCGAUUUUUGCUUUGUCAACUUCAAUUCCUCUGCUGUACCGUACAUCCGCCUUGGCCGUACAGCAGAACUAUGUACAGUGCAUCAAUCUAAAGAAAAAAAUCAAACAAUGAAACGGUAAAAUAAUAGUAAAACAAAAAAAAAUCAUUAAAGACUUAAUCAAGAACUGGUGGGUCAUCCAAAUUAAUUUCGGUGUCCUCGUCACGUGGGUGAUGUUCCAGAUAUGGUUUUAAUCUUUGACCAUUAACUUUAAAUGUGACACCGUUAUUUGGAUUCUCAAUUUCUAUGGCCCCAUAUGAAUAUACAUUUUUUACAACAAAUGGGCCACUCCAUUUUGACUUUAACUUUCCUGGAAAUAAAUGAAGACGAGAAUUAUAAAGCAACACUUUUUGACCAAUCUCAAAUGUUUUUCGAAAAAUUCUUUUAUCAUUAAUUCACCUUUUUCAUUUUUAACAACAGUGAUUCCAGAUUUUUUAGACACUACUUGUGUAGAACUUACCCACUUACUAUCAGAAAUAGGGUAGAUAAUUCCCACAUCAAGCAAUUUAAGGACUUCUGUUUUGACUACCUCUUUCAUGUGUGGGUUUAAUCUUCUUUGAGGUUGUUGACAUGUUUUAGCAUUUUCUUCCAAAUUAAUUCUAUGCAUGCAAAUUAAGGGAUUAAUGCCUUUAAUAUCAUUUAAAGUCCAUCCUAUUGCAUUUUUAUGCUUUUUAAGAACAGUAAGUAACUUACCUUCUUGGUUGCUUGUUAAAGUAGAAGAAAUCACAACAGGAUAAGUUUGUUCUUCUCCAAGAAAAACAUAUUUCAAUCCUUCAGGCAAAGGUUUUAAUUCCAUUUUAGGUGCUUCUUGUUGUUCUGUCUUUUCAAUACUUUCAAGCUCCUCAAAUUUUGGCUCGCCAUCAUAAUUUUGUGAAGUCUGCACAGAAUCAAGCAACGAAUUUAUAUUAGAAAUAUCAAGUUCAAGUUGCUUAUUUGACUUAAUUGAAUUAACUAAACAAACAUUAGAAAGUUCAGAAAAAUCCCCUUUUUGAAUAUUUUCCUCGAUACAAGAUUCAAACAAUUCCUUUUGUUCAUCAGUAUCAUCUUCAUUCUCAUUUUCUUCAUUAGGUUGCCUGCACAUGUUGAAAACAUUCAAUUCCAAAGUCAUAUUCCCAAAGGAUAAAUUCAUUAAACCAUUCCUACAAUUAAUCAAAGCAUUAGCAGUUGCUAAAAAUGGUCGACCUAAAAUUACAGGAAUUGGUUUGUAAUUAUUCACAACAGGUUCAGUUUCCAAGACAAUAAAAUCCACAGGAUAAAUAAAUUUAUCAACUUGUACUAAAACAUCUUCCACUAUUCCUUUUGGUACUUUAACUGAUCUAUCGGCAAGCAAAAGUGUAGUUGAAGUUGAUUUUAACUCACCAAGAUUAAGUUGAAGAUAAACUGAAUAUGGAAGCAAAUUAACACUAGCACCAAGAUCUAGUAAAGCAUGCUCAAUUCUGUGGUUACCAAUAAUACAAGAAAUGGUAGGACAACCAGGAUCUUUAUAUUUCAACUUAUUAUUAGUAGACAGAAUUGUACUUACCUGUUCGGCCAUGAAAGCACUCUUUCUUACCUUCAAUUUCCUCUUAACAGUGCACAAGUCCUUUAAAAAUUUGGCAUAUGAAGGAACCUGCUUGAUUGCAUCUAAUAGAGGAAUGUUAACUUUCACUUGCUUAAAGAUUUCAUAAAUUUCAGAAGCUGCUGUACGGCCAAGGCGGAUGUACGGUACAGCAGUUCUUUGUCCUAAAACAGCACCAACAGCAAAAUCACUUGCAUCACACAUUAAUUCAAAUGGCAAAGACCAAUCAGGAGAUUGCAUAAUAGGUGCAGAUGUUAAAAGACAAAUUAUUUUUUCAAAAGAUUUUUGGCAAUCAUCAUUCCAUUCAAACGGUGCAUCUUUUAAUAAGAGGUUACAAAGUGGUUUAGAUAUGGCACUAAAGUUUUUUAUAAACCUCCUAUAAAAUCCUGCAUGUCCUAAAAAGGAUCGCACAUCUCUAACUGUUUUUGGUUGUGGCAAUUUAGAUAUGACUUCAAUUUUUGCUUUGUCAACUUCAAUUCCUUUAAUAGAAACAACAUGACCCAAAACAAUUCCAGAAGUAACCAUGUAGUGACAUUUUUCCCAAUUCAACACGAGUUCUUUUUCAACACAUCUUUUUAAAACUUUCUCCAAAUUAUCACAUAUGUUAAGCAACUCUUUAAACCUAUCCCAACAUUGGUAUAAUGUUUCUCCAUUUUUUUGAGUGAAAGAAGUGAUUUGCCUUUUAAAAGAAUUUGUUCUAUGAGGUGGAAAGAAUUUUUUCAAAAACUGUUCUUGCAUGUUAUUCCAAGUUCUUACUGAUCCAGAUCUAAGGUUUUGUAGCCAAGUUUUAGCUUUAUCUUUUAAUGAAAAAGGAAAAAAACUUUAAUCUAAUUAUGUUCAUGCUACAAUUUUGGUCCGUGUAUGUAUUACAAACUUCCUCAAAAUCUCUUAGAUGCAAGUACGGAUUCUCAAAUUCUAAACCAUGAAAUGUUGGUAAUAGUUGGAUAAUACCUGGUUUAAUAUUUACCACUUACCUCCUAAUUUUUUUCAUAAUAUAAAAAAACUUAAUUAACAUAAAAUAAAAUAAAAUAAAGAUAAACGGGUCAUUCACUUAAUUAUUUAUCAUCAGAAUAAUAUAUAUAUAUAUAAUAUAUUAUAAGAAAAUAUUUAAAAAUAAAAAUAUAAGAAAAAUAUCUUCUUAUUAAUUUUUUAGUACUUCAAUUUUUUAUUUUAAUUUACAUUUAAAUGAUUUAUUCAAUUUAUAAUAAAUAUGUUGCCAAAGAAAUUAUUGUCUAUUAUGAAAAUAGUAGGAAGUAAGCUAUCAGCAGAGUUGCUAGAAUAAAGAAAGCAUGAAGUAGCCUGAGAGACCUUAUUGCCAGUAUUGUUGCUAAGAAACCAGCUGCGUCAAAGCUGGCUCCAACUGCUACAAAAUAAACCCCAACAAAAUCUUCUGUCAUAACUCCUAGGGUCUCCAACAAAUGUAAAAAGGCAAAACCCUAUGGAGAUGUUAUGACACAAUUGAACAAGUCCAACUCAGCCUAAAGCUACUGAACCUAUUGGAACUCCACCAAUCAAUCCAACUCAGAGCCAGAAAAAAAAAGCAGCCAGCUGCCAUAACACAAGGUUCACCUAAAGAACAUUUGUGAAGUGUAACUAAGAAGAAGUGAAACUUUUUCAACAACAGCUGCAGCAGAAUGUCCAACAACAGGGGAGUAUUCCUUGCCAACCCAAUUUAAUUUUCUAACCUUUGAAACUUUUCUUUUCUUUUAAGUUAUUUAUUUUUAGAUUUUUCGGUUUUUAUUUCUUUUUUGUUAGUGUAUGCAUGUUUGUCUUGGUUUAUUUUGUGUGCCUGUGACGACACAACACUUUUCAAGUUUGGGGGGGUUAUGCUAUGGUGUAAUGUGUCCGUGAGUGCAUGCAUUGGUAUUGUGUGUUAUGUGUAGCUCCGUUAUUCAGUAUUUGUGUAUGGAUUAGAAAACCUAAUGAAGAUAAAUUGAGUGUCAUCCAGUAUUUGUGACUGCCAAGUAGGGCUAGGUCAUAGAUGAAGGUUGAAAUUCAGUCUCAACACUUAGGCUUUAGUUGAGUUUUAUGAGUGUGUUGUAGAAAAACCAGAAAGACAAAAAAUGAUAGAAAUAUCUCAAGUUUGGGGAGAAAAUUUAAAGGGAUUUAUCAUAAAUUGUGCUAGUUAUGAAAUAAAUUUUGCUCUAAUGGCUUAAGUUACUGAGUAACCAGGGCUGAGUAUGCACCCCAUAUGCAGACUUAAGUAAAACAGCAACAAGAGUUACGAGUAAUGUUGUAGCAAUAAAAAAAAAAAGGUCCUCUAUCUAGGAUAUUGAAUAGCCAGGUCUGUUAAUGAGCUCAUGUUCAACCUUGAGUUAAAUGUGUCUAUAGAUAAGACAAUGUUAUAACAUUUUACAUGUCAUUGCUGCAGCAACUCUAAUCUGUGCAUUGGUUGAGUAAUUGUGUGUCAUCAUUACAAGUGAUAGACAUUCACAUGAAAAAUCAAUGAUGCAUUGAAGAGAAUUUGAUAAAAAAAAAUGUUGUAGCACAGUUUGAGCCUAUUUGUGACUUCUGCCCCCCAUACGUGAAUGUACUUAUGUUUUAUCUUUGAGUUAUGUAUAAUGUCUGUGUAAUGCUACAGCACCAUUGGAACUUAAAUACAGUGCCACACACAUACUUUGUAUAGAAUAUGGGCUAAGUCUAGAACUAAACUGUUAUGGCAAUUUUGUCUGGUCAAGAGUGUGAUCUGAGGGUUGAUGAAUCCUAACAAACUUGUUAACAGAGCUAAGUUAUUUUGUUGCAAGAUUGUGUGAUUGAAGUGUUAAUGUUAUUGUCAUUACUUGAUGACAAGUAAUAAUUUAAGUUUGGGGAUGUGAUAACUCUAUGAAAUGAGAGUUAUCAUGAUACUUUUGGGCUUAAAUCAAGUUUUCAUAGAGUGAAUGAUGUGUUUUUAGUGUAUUUUAGUGACAUUUUGCAUAAACAUCCAUUUUAGUUUAUUUCUAAUAAAUUGAGUUUGUUUUAGAUUAUUUUGUUCUUUUGUUGUGUGCAUAAUUGUAGUUGACCAAGAAGCUCAAGUUUUAAGAAAUGAAUGAUGCUGCAAUAGAUUUGCAGAGAUAAUGAAAGAACUUAGCUACAAAAGAAUUAAAACAAGUUUGAAACAGUGAAGAUAUUGUAGUCAUUGCUGUAGUAAUCCUGGAGCAAUAACAAACUGAAUUUCGCACGUAACAACUAAAAGAUUGCGAUUUAAAGUUUUCAAAAAUAGAGGAAAGACACCACACACUUUCGGUUGUCCUAGUUCUGAGUUAUAAAAGUAAUAUUCAUGAAAAGAAAAAAAGGAGAGUCGUCACUAAAGGAAAAAUCACAUAGAAAAAAAAAAGAAAAUAAGAAGGAUUUGAGGGCUACAAAAGAGGAAUCACAGUGAACAAGAAUGGGAGAUCACAAUAUUAAGUAGACUUCAACUUUUAUCUUGUUUUCUAUUUGUUUAUGGGAAUAUAUUUGAUUACUGAAACAACUUUAUUUACUGUUCUAUCACAAAUCAUGAACUGAAUUUGAUUGUAGUUGAGUGAUAAAUGAUCUUAAUGAAUGUUUAACUGACAUAUGUGUGUUGCUCUGUGUUUGCUAUAGCAUUAUGUCUUAAUUGUGUUUAUUUCAAUUCCCUACUUCGGCUUACCACUCAUUUAGAGAUACUAGCUAAGAAAGAACUUCAAAAAGGUCUGACUUAGUGGAUCGAAUUAAGACAAUACUUAGUUUUAGAUCAAGUUUCUCAAGUUAAGUUAAUCUCAAUUUGAAAAGGGUCAUAUGUGAUCUAAAAUUAGUGAAAAACUAGACAUAGAAAUUUAUCUUGUAGGGUAAAUGGAACCAAGAACGUUUAAGGUUAUAUCUAACAUUAGCAUAACAAUUGGUCAUUGUUAGGUUGCAUUAGAUAUAAGAUAUCCAACAUGCGAUAGCUGAGGAUGUAUAAGGGAUUCUGCCCAGUGUUGUAGUAGAUAAUGUAGCAACAGUACUAAAAUUGAAAAAUAGUCAAAGCCAUUAAGUGAGUUUAUUCACUUAACUACUCAUUUUCCAUUAAUUACAUCCUUAUAUUUGAUGUGAGAAUUUUCUUUAUUGCAUUUUAUUUAUUGAAUUUUUAUUUUAAUCAGUUUGUUAAUUUCAUUAAUUGUCUUAUUUUAAUUUAGAACAAAACUGCAUUGUUAAGAUUGUUAUAGCAAAUCUAAUAACAUCAAUCCCUAUGGAGAUGAUCUAAAUAUUCAUCAAUAUAUUACUUAUUAUGUACACUUGCACAUUGACACCUAUAGUAAUAGAAAUCACACACCAAUAACACGUUGCUCUGUGUUUGUGUGACAAGCAACAUAACUAGGAAACUGUCUUACCUAAGGUCAAGUUUACUUACAACAGCAUGGUGAAUCAACCUACUAGCAAGACUCCUUUUGAGAUUAUCUACAUUUGUUCCACACGCGAUGUUUAUGACUUGACUAUCAUGCUAACAAUAGUUGAAAGGAGUAAAGUAGCAAAUAAUGUGACAGAAAAGGCUCUACAGAUUCGUGCCGAGGUUUGAGCUUAUUUAGAGGCUGCCAAUGCUAAGUACAAGGCUGAUGCGGACAAGCAUCGAUGCAAGAAAGUAUUCCAAGAAGGUGAUUUAGUGAUUGCGCAUCUGCAUCGAAGUCGUUUCCCUAGUACUCGUACAAAAUUGGAGAAGCUCAAGUAUGGACCAUUUCGUGUGGCAAGGAAGAUUAAUGAUAAUGCUUAUGUGCUCUAGCUACCAAAAAACUAGAAUAUCUCUCUCACAUUUAAUGUGGUUGAUCUAUUUGAAUAUCAUCCAGAUGAUGAGGCAUUCUACAAGCCAAACUCGAGGACGAGUUCUUUUCCAAGUAAGGGGGAUUGAUGUAGGAUGGUUGCAUGGGAUUAGUAGGAUAUCUUCCGGAGGGCAUAACUUGGGCUAUAUAUGUAUGUUUUUGGUGUAUAAUAUGUCUUUCGAAGCUUGCAAUGAGAGGAUAAAAAAUAGAACUACUUCCAUUAUUCUGCCCUGUGAAUGAGCUGAAAAUUUCAUUUCUUUCCUGAUCAUUUUUUCAGUUUUAAGAUUUUUCCUAUUUCUUUAAGGAUCUUUAUCUUUCUUUUCUAGAUGCCGGAUUUGGUGCCGUUUAUUUUGGAUUUCUUAUUUAAAUUAGAAUAAUUUUAUUAUAAAAUAACAUUUCGAAUUUGUUUAUUUUGAUAAAUUCACGAUAUUUAGGAUUUUUAUAUAAAGAGGGCCAAAACUAUAGUUUUGUUAAUUCAGAUUUAUUCAAUAAAAUUCAUUACUCGGAAAACUUUGUUUCUUUUAUCAAUCAACUUGAAACUAUUUUAUUUUUUCUUACUAGUUCUUUCUUCUUUAAUUAAACCUCAUACAACAUAUCUAGUCAUUAUUCAUAUGAAGUAUGCAUCAAAUAAAAUCUCUUACAACACAUAAAUUUAAGAACCAUUUAUUUGGACACACGUGUGUGGUGAACCAAUUUUGUCUUUGCAGCAUCAUUUACUCAAGGGCAACCAACAGCACCACCAUGCCAAAAAUGAAUGCACGGCGCGGGCUUUACUGGACCAGGUUGCGCCUUCAGUGCUUCUGUGACUGCCUCCGCUGGACGUAUAUGUGAAGCAACAUGUCAUAUCUUUUUUUUAAUUAACCUCAAUGCAAUGACAAAAUUCUACUAAAGGAAAAAAUAAAACAUAAGAUGCUAUGGGUAAUGAAAUAUAUAUAUAUAUAUCCCUAGUUUAGGGGAAAAAAAUAAAAAAACAAUCAUAUUAGUUCGAGAACUUUAUGUUCAUGUAUACUCUUGUCUUCUUCCGACUUUAAUUUCUAGGGUAAUAAGUUUUCCUAUGAUUACCAUACAAUGAUGUAUAUAUAUAAUAGGCGAUAUUGUUGACAUUAUGAUGAAUAAUGAUGUCAAGUGGCAUAUAAUUUUACAAUAAAUGAAUCUCUUACUUUAAUAAUUUAACAGGCAAAAUAAAAAAAUUAAUAUAUUACAGGAUAAAAUACAUUAUAUUGAAUAAUAAUUAAUGAACUAAAAGAUUAAAAAAAUAAAUAUACUAUCCAAAAAUUUCAUUAUUUUUUAAAUUAAUUCACUUCUUCAAUAUUAUUCACGAUAAAUAUUACGUAGUACGACAUUUUUGUAAGCCAUCGGUCACCACCAUAUAACGACCAACACAGCUUAUAAAUUGGCUUUGCUAGAAGAAAUUAAUCUGAUUGUUAUGUUAUAUAUAAGAUGACCCAAAUUAAUGCAUAAACCAAGACGCUCACCUUUUCGUGUUGCAGUGGAAGCCUCAGCCAUGUUUCUAGCAGCUGCCACCUUCGUAGAAGUAAGAAGAACAACAAUAGUGAUUACAAGACUUUAAAGAAGGAAAAUCUUAGAGCCCAAUCCCAUUUUCGGUAUGCCAAAAAUAAAGUAAGAGGAAAUUAAUAUCAAUAAACGAGUAUUAAUUGAAGAUGGAAAGGAUGAAUGGAUGAUAAAUUAGUGUUCUCUUGAAUGUAUAUUAUUUAUAGUAGUUGGGAUUUGGGAGUUAGCGGUCCGAGGAAGGCACUGAGAAGUUAAUGCUCGUCUGAGACUAAGAAUUUUCUACAAGCAGCAAGCACAUUUUUAUUUCUUUGCGGGGUCCUUCAUUGCUCUGCAAAUAAUUUCUUUUUUUUAAUUAAUAUUUACCACUUAUCUCCUUUUUUAUAAUAUAAAAAAACUCAAUGAACAUUAAAAAAUUUAAAGAAAAAUAAAGGUAAAUGGGUCAUUCACUUAACAAUUUAUCACCGAAAUAUAAAAUAAAUAUUUAUUAUAAGAAAAUAUUUUAAAAAAAAAAAUAUCUUAUUAUUAAUUUUUUAUUCACGCCAAAAUAUAUAUUUCUUAUUUUUAGUACUUAAAUUUUUUAUUUUAAUUUACAUUGAUAUGAUUUAUUCUAUUUAUAAUAAAUAUGUUGCCAAAGAAAUUAUUGACUAUUAUGAACAUAGUAGGAAGUAAGUGAUAUAUAUUGAUUUCAGUAGGGAGAAUCUUACAAUCUCUCUUUUAUUAAUUAUUCUACAAUUGCCGUGAAAAUAUGUUUCUCCAUAUUUUCUUGAUUUUUGGUAUAAACUCUCUACUAGUUAUUCUACCAUAUUAAAUUUAAUACAACCAGCUCUCUUCCUUGGAUAAUAAAUUAAUCUAUUUCUCCAAAAAAAGAAGAAGAGGAAAUUAGUAUUCACUGAAGAAGGAAAAAAAGAUAAAUUUGUAUUCUUUUGUAUCUAUUAUUAAUAUUCAUAGAAUUCGGGCAGCCAAUGGUCCAUGCAGCCCGUUUACAUUUUUUUACGGGGCCCUCCAAUGCCUCUUGCACUAGCUAAGAAUUUUCUUUGUUCACUGAAACCAAGUUGAAUUUUUUUUAAUUUUAUAAAAUAUAUAUUAGAUUAUAAUUAUAUUUAAGGACAAAUACAAAUAGAAUUAACUCCAUUUAUAUUUUUUUCUCCCUUUAAUUUAUUUUACUUGUAUAAUAUAAUUGUUUUAUUAUCAUUCAAACAAUUUGAAUUUAAAAAGUCAUCUUUUAUCCAAAACAAAAUUAUUGUAACAAAAAUUAGAACUAAAUUAAGAUACAACACAAACAAAAAAUAAAUUAAAUAAAAUCUUAUCCAACUAUACACAAUUUUAAUUAUUUCGAUAGAUGAAAUUUCAGAUUCAAUAUCAGUAUUGCUAUUUGUUCACAGUUCACACGAAAGGAUGGACAAUUAUAGUUAUUGUAUUUUUUUCUUUAUAUGACUUUGGAUUCCUUGUAUGGCGACAAGUAAGUGAUGACUAUUGCAGCAAACUUGCCUUUGUUUUACGUUCUAAUUUCCAUACUUGAUUGGAAAUUCUAUUAUUUCAAUAGAUAAUUGAUGGGUAAUGGUCCAUCUCCCAACAGCAAUUGAUGGGCGAUGAGGCCAUCUCCUAAUUUUUGUUUGAUUUUAGUUAAAAGAAAACGUUAAUUUUAGUUAUUUUGAUAGAUAAAAUUUUGGGUUCAAUAUCAGUAUUGUUAUUUGUUCACACGAAAUGAUGGACAUCUGUAUUUAUUGUAUUUUUUUUCUUCAUAUGACUUUUGAUUCCAAAGAAGACCGGAAGUCAUCCUUAUAUAAUGACAAGUAAGCGAUAACUAUUGUGGCAAACAUGUCUGUGUUUUACAUUUUAAUUUCCAUACUUGACUGGAAAUUUUGCUAUUUUGAUAGAUAAUUCAUGGGUAAUGGCCCAUCUCUCAAUAGCAAUUGAUGGGCGAUGAGGCCACCUCCCAAAUUUAGUUUGACUUUAAUUAAAAGAAAACAUUAAUUUUAGUUAUUUCGAUCGAUAAAAUUUCAGGUUCAAUAUCAGUAUUGCUAUUUGUUCACAUGAAAAGAUGGACAAUUGUAUUUAUUGUAUUUUUUUUCUCUAUAUGACUUUGGAUUCCUUGCAUGGCGACAAGUAAGCGGUGACUAUUACGGCAAACAUGUCUUUGUUUUACAUUUUAAUUUCCAUACUUGACCAAAAAUUCUUUUAUUUUAAUUGAUGGGUAAUGGCCCAUCUCCCAACAGCAAUUGAUGGGCGAUGAGGCCACCUCCCAAAUUUAGUUUGACUUUAAUUAAAAGAAAACAAUAAUUUUAGUUAUUUCGAUAGAUAAAAUUUCAAGUUCAAUAUAAGUAUUAUUAUUUGUUCACAUGAAAGGAUGGACAAUUGUAUUUAUUGUAUUUUUUUCUUAUUAUGACUUUUGAUUCGAAACAAGACUAGAAGUCAUCCUUGUAUGGCGACAAGUAAGCAAUGACUAUUGCUUAAAACAUGUCUUUGUUUUACAUUUUAAUUUUCAUAUUUAAGUAGGUGUGAAAAGCUUCACUCUUUCUAUUUGUCUAUGUAGCCCCCCCUUUUUUCCUCUUAACGGGACUAUGAAAUACUCUUGUCAAUUGUCACUAACUAAGGAUUGUCAUCAUUCAUUUUUAAAGUAAAUGUUAAACCAAAGCCGUUGAUUUUUUUUUAAAAUAAAAGGAUAUUAGCACUAACUAAGAAUUGUGAUUACUAAUUUUUCUUUUUAAAAUAUGUAGAUAUUUUCAUUUUUUUAAAUUAUACUAUUAUCCAUUAUUAAGUGGGAAAAAGUAAUUUUCAAGAAACUUUGAUGUUAAAAUGUAACUUUCUACUAUUUUUAAGGUUGAAAUUCAAGUGGGCAGUGGCUAACUUAAAAAAUUGAAAGCAUCGCUCGACCACAAUUGUAGAGGAUGAAGGCAGGGUUUUAUUGAAAACUAUUUGGUACAAAAAUUGUCACGUAAAAUGUAUUUUCAAUUUUUGUAGUACAUGACUUAUUAGUAUUUAAUAACCAUAACAUGGCCUUCAACAGCCGGCUGUAUAGGCCUUACAUAAUAUAUUUUCCAAUCUAUUUCAUUAAAGUGUGGGUAACAGGUGAAUGAGAAAUUAUGAAAUAUUAGGAGGGUAAGUGAUAAAAAAGAGCCUAAGUAGGGGAUAUUUUUUAAGAAUAUAAAAUUGAGAAAAUUAAAUACAAUUACUAAAAUAUAUGGUAUAAAAUAAAAAGAGUGAACUUAAUCCUAGCUCUUAGAUGGCAUGUAUCUUAAUUUUCUCCCAAUUUUCGGAAAACUAAAGUUUGGAGAGAAUUCGCAUCAUAUCCUUGUGUAUUAUACAGUUGAAUUCAAGAUAGUCGUAUGUAGUACGAGGACUUUUUUCCCCCUAAUAUUAUAUCUCCAGAGACUAUUUCCCGUGAAAGCAAAUCUAGUUUAGAGGUCAAUUGACUUAGUAUUCUAUAUAUUUGCUCUUAGUGUGCUUCUCUUCUCCAUCACCGUUUGGCUUCUGUAAUUCAUCUUCUGUUUUCAUCUUUGUUUUCUAUUGCUACACAACAACAUAAUCAAUGGAUUCACCAACCUUGAAAAAUAAUAAAGUAAUUAUAUCACUCGUUUUCCCCCUCAUCUUGUUUGUUGUUUUAGAUUUUUCACUUGCUAUUUCUUCUAAUUCUGCAGAAGAAGCCCAUGCUCUUGUGAAAUGGAAAGCCAGCCUUGAAGUCCAUAGCCGUUCUCUCUUACAUUCCUGGUCUCUUUCUUCUGUAAAUGCCACCAAAAUAAGCCCCUGUGCUUGGUCAGGAAUUUUUUGCAACCAUGCCGAAAGAGUCGUCGGAAUUAACCUGACAAGCAUAAGUCUAAAUGGUACUCUUCUUGAAUUCUCAUUCUCAUCAUUUCCUCAUCUUGUGUAUCUUGAUUUAUAUAAUAACGAGCUCUUUGGUAUCAUCCCUCCUCAAAUCAGCAACCUUUCCAACCUGGAGUACCUUGAUUUUUCAGCUAAUAAGUUGUUUGGUCAGAUACCAUCAGGAAUUGGCCUUCUGACCCAUCUGACGGUCCUUCACAUUUCGAGAAAUUGGUUGAGUGGCUCAAUUCCACAUGAAGUGGGCCAGUUAACUGUUCUUAAUCAGCUUGCUUUAGAUUCUAAUUUUUUGAAUGGUUCAAUCCCUCGUUCUCUUGGCAAUUUGACCCAUGUGGUCAUUUUGUAUCUUUAUAAUAAUUCGUUUUUUGGUUCCAUUCCUCAAGAAAUAGGAAACUUAAAGUCACUUUUUGAUCUAGAGUUAUGCAUAAAUCAACUUAGCGGUGCUAUACCUCUUUCAAUUCGUAAUUUGACCAAUUUGAGAUUCUUAUUCCUUUAUCAUAAUGAGCUUUCUGGUAUCAUUCCUCAAGAAAUUGGAAAUCUCAAGAAGUUAAAUUCUUUACUGCUAGCUAAAAAUCAUUUUCGAGGUCCAGUUCCCAAAAGCUUCAGAAAUUUGACCGACCUAGUCAGACUACGUCUUAACCAAAACUAUUUAACCGGAAAUAUUUCUGAAACUUUUGGUACUUAUCCAAACCUCACUUUCAUUGAUCUCAGCAAUAAUAAUUUUUUUGGUGAAAUCUUAUCAGACUGGGGAAGAUGCCCACAAUUAAGUCUUUUAGAUGUUUCAAUAAAUAAUAUUAGUGGAAGCAUACCGCUUGAGAUUGGAGAAUCACUUCAGUUACAAUAUCUUGAUCUUUCUUCAAAUUAUAUUGUUGGUGAGAUUCCAACACAACUUGGAAAUAUAAUUUAUCUCAAUAGGCUUAGUUUGAGUGGGAAUAAACUCUCUGGAUGUAUACCUAGAGAGCUUGGGUCACUCAUUAAUCUCGAGUACCUUGACUUGUCUGCAAAUAAUCUAAGCAACUUUGUGCCAGAAAGUCUUGGCAGCUUGGUUAAAUUGUAUUAUUUGAAUUUGAGCCACAAUAAAUUGAGUCAACAAAUUCCAAUUGAAUUAGAUAAUUUGAUUCACCUUUCAGAGUUAGAUUUGAGUCAUAACUUUUUGGGAGAAAAGAUAUCAUCUCGAAUCUGCAGAAUGGAAAGCUUGGAGAAGCUCAAUCUGUCCUACAACAACCUAUCAGGUCUCAUUCCAAGAUGCUUCGAGGAGAUGCAUGGCCUAUUACACAUUGACAUAUCCUAUAACAAGUUAGAGGGACAGAUUCCUAAUAGCACAACAUUCAGAGAUGCUCCGUUGGAGGCAUUACAAGGAAACAAAGGAUUGUGCGGAGAUAUCAGAGGAUUUCCAUCAUGCAUGUCAUACAAAAAAGCUUCCCGGAAGAUUUGGAUUGUUAUUGUGUUCCCUCUUUUAGGUAUGGUUGCCCUUUUUAUUGCUUUGACCGGAUUUUUCUUCAUUUUCCAUCAAAGGAAAAAUGAUUCACAAACACAACAGAGUAGCUUUGGAAAUACUCCAGGGUUGCGUUCAGUGUUAACCUUUGAAGGGAAAAUCGUUUACGAAGAAAUCAUCAGUGCGACAAAUGAUUUUAAUGCUGAGCAUUGCAUUGGAAAAGGUGGACAUGGAAGUGUUUACAGAGCUAAGGUGCCAUCUGGAGAAAUCUUUGCAGUUAAGAAAUUUCAUUCCCCACUUCCAGGUGAGAUGUCAUUUCAGCAAGAAGAAUUCCUUAAUGAAAUUCAAGCAUUGACAGAGAUACGACAUCGAAAUAUUGUGAAAUUUUAUGGCUUCUGUUCACAUCCCAAACACUCAUUUAUAAUUUAUGAGUAUCUGGAAAGCGGUAGCUUGGACAAGAUCCUCUGCAAUGAUGCAUCGGCAAAAGAAUUGGGUUGGACUCAGAGAUUGAAUGUGAUAAAAGGUGUAGCUGAUGCAUUAUUUUACUUGCACAAUAAUUGCUUCCCGCCAAUUGUUCAUCGAGACAUAUCGAGCAAGAACGUGCUGUUGGAUUUGGGGUAUGAAGCCCAUGUUUCGGAUUUUGGAAUUGCCAAGUUUCUCAAUCCGGACUCCUCUAACUGGUCUGAACUUGCCGGUACACACGGAUAUGUUGCACCAGGUAUCACAACUUUGAAUUAAUAAUUCUCUACUAACUCUUAUAUCUUCACAUCAUCACGAUCUUUAUUUAUUUAUUUUUUCUUAUGUUACACUGAGCAAAAAAAUUGGUGUGACAUAGAUGAUCUAAUUUCAUCUUUCAACAGAGCUAGCCUACACAUUGAAGGUUACUGAAAAAUGCGAUGUGUACAGUUUUGGAGUGUUAGCAUUAGAAGUUAUCAAAGGGAAGCAUCCAAGGGAUUUCCUUUUUGAAAUGUCAUCUUCAUCUUCCAAUAUGAACAUAGAAAUGUUGGACUCUCGGCUUCCAUAUCCAUCACUCCAUGUCCAGAAAAAAUUGAUGUCAAUCAUGCAGGUUGCCUUUUCAUGCUUAGAUCAGAAUCCAGAGUCUAGACCAACGAUGAAGAGAGUUAGCCAAUUAUUAUGUGAAAAAAUUUUCGAAGUCUAGUCCAUUAACGGUCUUUUAUAAUCUUGUCUGUACUUUUCUGAUAAAUUAUUCACGUUGCGACUCUUUGUAGCAAGGGCAUUCGUGUUUUUAAUACCAUUGUAGUGUGAAGUUCAAUCUAAUUAGUUUCACUAUAACUCUGAUCACAACGUGGGUUAAUGGUUGAAUCAUAAAAUAAUCAAUUUUUUAACAGGAAUCACAUUCCCAUUUACCCUAAUUGAAACCAGGGAUAGACACAAAACUAUAAUUCUGCGAAGGCCACAAAACUCAUAGGAGUAAAAUUUCGAAGCCAAAGUAAAAACUGUCAAAAUUGUAGAGGCGAAAUCUCUAUCUUGUCCCUAUCUUGUUGGUUCAAAAUUUUAACUUCAGCUAACGAAUUUUAAUUAACUUUGUUUUUGGCCCCUACUGGUGAAGCCCUACUUUUACUUGAUAGCAAAAUGCAGAGGUCAAUUUGCCCAUUAAUAUUGGUCGCGAAACUAAUUAAGCUCUUUUGAAAAAUAUAAAGAGAGAGAAGAAUCUUUGUGGAAAAACUUUGGACAAUCACUUAAUUGUUCAUUUGAAAAAUCCAAUCAUUUUAACAUUUUCUGAAUUACCAAUUGAAGACGCAAUCUCUUUUUUGGUUUUGCAGACUUGAGCUUUAAAGCUUUAAAGGUUUGUUUAUUUUCUUGUUUUUGAUUUUCUUAAUUAAUUUCCGCCACUCAUUAUUUUAGUUUAAGGACUUGAGGUAAUUAAUGAUACGAGAAAAUCCCUCAGUAGCCUGUCAUGGUGAAUCAUGUUUUUAAUUGUUGAAUUUAAUUCUAUUGAGACUUUUUUUUUAUUAUUCCUUUUCUCUUUUACUUAAUUUUUUUAUAGGGUCUUGGUCUUUGAGGCGGUGAUUGUGUCUUGGCCGAAAUGGAAAAAAAAAUCAACCUCAAUGCAACGAGAAAAUUCUACUAAAGGAAAAAAUAAAACAUAAGAUGCUAUGGGUAAUGAUAUAUAUAUAUAUAUAUCCCUAGUUUAGGGGAAAAAAAUAAAAAAAACAAUCAUAUUAGUUCGAGAACUUUAUGUUCAUGUAUACUCUUGUCUUCUUCCGACUUUAAUUUCUAGGGUAAUAAGUUUUCCUAUAAUUACCAUACAAUGAUAUAUAUAUAUAUAAUAGGCGAUAUUGUUGACAUUAUGAUGAAUAAUGAUGUCAAGUGGCAUAUAAUUUUACAAUAAAUGAAUCUCUUACUUUAAUAAUUUAACAGGCAAAAUAAAAAAAUUAAUAUAUUACAGGAUAAAAUACAUUAUAUUGAAUAAUAAUUAAUGAACUAAAAGAUUAAAAAAAUAAAUAUACUAUCCAAAAAUUUCAUUUUUUUUUAAAUUAAUUCACUUCUUCAAUAUUAUUCACGAUAAAUAUUACGUAGUACGACAUUUUUGUAAGCCAUCGGUCACCACCAUAUAACGACCAACACAGCUUAUAAAUUGGCUUUGCUAGAAGAAAUUAAUCUGAUUGUUAUGUUAUAUAUAAGAUGACCCAAAUUAAUGCAGAAACCAAGACGCUCACCUUUUCGUGUUGCAGUGGAAGCCUCAGCCAUGUUUCUAGCAGCUGCCACCUUCGUAGAAGUAAGAAGAACAACAAUAGUCAUUACAAGACCUAAAAGAAGGAAAAUCUUAGAGCCCAAUCCCAUUUUCGUUAUGCCAAAAAUAAAGGAAGUAAGAGGAAAUUAAUAUCAAUAAACGAGCAUUAAUUGAAGAUGGAAAGGAUGAAUGGAUGAUAAAUUAGUGUUCUCUUGAACGUAUAUUAUUUAUAGUAGUUGGGAUUGGGGAGCCAACGGUCCGAGGAAGGCACUGAGACGUUAAUGCUCGUCUGAGACUAAGAAUUUUCUACAAGCAGCAAGCACAUUUUUAUUUCUUUGCGGGGUCCUUCAUUGCUCUGCAAAUAAUUUCUCUUUUAUUAAAAUUAAUAUUUAACACUUCUCUCCUUAUUUUUUGUCAUAAUAUAAAAAAACUCAAUGAGCAUAAAAAUAUUUAAAGAAAAAUAAAGGUAAAUGGGUUAUUCAUAUAAGAGUGAUGAUAUAGCCACAAACUCUUGUAUAAACUAAUUUUAUACAAACUGAUGUGGUUUUCUGCUGUACCGUACAUCCGCCUUGGCCGUACAGCAGUUAAUUUUUUAUUCACGCCAAAAUAUAUAUUUUUAUUUUUAGUGCUGCAAUUUUUUAUUUUAAUUUUCAUUUAUAUGAUUUAUUUUAAUUUACAUUCAUAUGAUUUAUUCAAUUUAUAAUAAAUGUGAAUAAAGCAACACCAGUAAUACUAUUAAAUUAUGUUGCCAAGGGAAUUAUUGACUAUUAUGAAAAUAGCAAAAAGUAAGUGAUCUAUAUUGAUUUCAGUAGGGAGAAUAUGACAAUCUCUCUUUUAUUAAUUAUUCUACAACUGCCUUGAAAAUAUGUCUCUCCAUAUUUUCUUUAUUUUUUGCAGUAAACUCUCUGCUAGUUAUUCUAUCAUAUUAAAUCUAAUACAACCAGCUCUCUUCCUUGGAUAAUAAGUUAAUUUAUUUCUCCCAAAAAAAAAGGAAAUUGAUAUUCAUUGAAGAAGGAAAAAAUGAUAAAUUUGUAUUCUUUUGCAUCUAUUAUUAAUAUUCAUAGAAUUCGGGCGGUCGGUGUAGCCCAUUCAUAUUUUUUUGCGGGGCCCUCUGAUGCCUCUUGCACUAGCUAAGAAUUUUCUUUGUUCACUGAAACCAAGUUGAAUUUUUUUUAAUUUUAUAAAAUAUAUACUGCUGUACCGUACAUCCGCCUUGGCCGUANNNNNNNNNNNNNNNNNNNNNNNNNNNNNNNNNNNNNNNNNNNNNNNNNNNNNNNNNNNNNNNNNNNNNNNNNNNNNNNNNNNNNNNNNNNNNNNNNNNNNNNNNNNNNNNNNNNNNNNNNNNNNNNNNNNNNNNNNNNNNNNNNNNNNNNNNNNNNNNNNNNNNNNNNNNNNNNNNNNNNNNNNNNNNNNNNNNNNNNNNNNNNNNNNNNNNNNNNNNNNNNNNNNNNNNNNNNNNNNNNNNNNNNNNNNNNNNNNNNNNNNNNNNNNNNNNNNNNNNNNNNNNNNNNNNNNNNNNNNNNNNNNNNNNNNNNNNNNNNNNNNNNNNNNNNNNNNNNNNNNNNNNNNNNNNNNNNNNNNNNNNNNNNNNNNNNNNNNNNNNNNNNNNNNNNNNNNNNNNNNNNNNNNNNNNNNNNNNNNNNNNNNNNNNNNNNNNNNNNNNNNNNNNNNNNNNNNNNNNNNNNNNNNNNNNNNNNNNNNNNNNNNNNNNNNNNNNNNNNNNNNNNNNNNNNNNNNNNNNNNNNNNNNNNNNNNNNNNNNNNNNNNNNNNNNNNNNNNNNUUUUUUUUUUUUUUAAUAAACGGAUAUUAUCGCUAACUAUGAAUUGUGAUGAUUGAUUUUUUAAAAAAUAUAUAGAUUUUAUCACUUUGCUACCUAAUAUUUUUUGGCAUAUCACUUUACUAUCAAAAUUUUUGGAUAAUUACUUUUUCCUACUUAAUAAUUGAUAACACUAUUAUUUUUUUGGUAUAUAAUUAAUUUUGUAUUUCUUUAAUUUAGAAGGUUAAAUUAUACUUACAUAGUUUACGCUUUAAUAGUUUGAUGGUAAAUUGUAAAAAUAUAUAAAAAAAUAAUAAUUAUCAAAAAAUUUAGGUGCUAAAAUAAUAUGUCAGAAAAAAAUACCUUUAAUAUUAAAUAGAAUAUAAUUUUUUUUAAAAAAAGAAAUUUUAUGAAGAUUUUGGAAGAGUGUCAAUAGUUUGACUCAUUAAAAAAUGAUAUGUAGCCCGAAAUUUAUUAUUUGUAUGGAUAGUUGAUGGGUGGAGGCCCAUCUCCCAAAGAUGUUUACCAGGCGACGAGCCAUCUCCCAAUUUUCGUCUGAUUUUAAUUAAAAAAUAUUAAAUUUAUUUAUUUCGGUGAAUAAAAUUCAAAUUAAAUAUCAGCAUUGUUAUUUGUUUAUACAAGAGAAUGGACAAUCAUAUUUAUUAUUUUUUUAUAUGACUUUUGGUUGCAAAGAUGACGGGAAGUCAUCCUCGUGCCGCGACAAACAAGUGAUUACUAUUGCAAUGCAUGUGUCUUUGUCUUAAAUUAUAAUUUCCAUAUUUUAAAAUUAUAGGAUCAUUCUAUAAUGCCGUAAUUAAAUUUACAACAUUGAUGUCGUAAUGGACGUGGACCGUUAGAUUUGAAUAAAAAAUCACUAUCAUUAAUUCUAAAUAAAUAGGUAACAUGUUACCUAAGUAGGAGAUAAUUACUCUUUUUUGUUCAAAUUCCAUGUUACAUUUACCAAUUUUAUGUAUGAUUUACAAGUUUUAUGAAACUUUUACAAGUUAAUGUUGAUUAACAAGUUUUAUGCAACAUUUACAAGUUUUUGUUUUAUUUACAAGUUCUUCUUAUAAUUUACAACUCUAACAUUAAUUUAUCUAUUUUUUCAUUAAUUUAUUAGUUUUAUGUGUGGUUUACAAAUUUUUUAUUUUAUUUCACACUUAAUGUCAAUUUACAAGUUCUAUGUCAUUUUUCUAAAUUUUUGUUUUGUUUACAAGUUCUUCUUAUAAUUUACAAUUCCAACAUUAAUUUACUCAUUUUUCCAUCAAUUUACUAGUUUUAUGUGUGAUUUACACAUUUUUUAUUUCAUUUCACACUUAAUGUCAAUUUAAAAGUUCUAUAUCAUUUUUCUAAAUUUUUAUUUUGUUUACAAGUUCUUCUGGCCAAUUACAACUCCAUCAUUAAUUUACCCAUUUUUCCAUCAAUUUACUAGUAUUAUGUGUGAUUUACACAUUUUUUGUUUCAUUUCAAAAUUAAUGUCAAUUUUUUUUUUUUUUAAUAAACGGAUAUUAUCGCUAACUAUGAAUUGUGAUGAUUGAUUUUUUAAAAAAUAUAUAGAUUUUAUCACUUUGCUACCUAAUAUUUUUUGGCAUAUCACUUUACUAUCAAAAUUUUUGGAUAAUUACUUUUUCCUACUUAAUAAUUGAUAACACUAUUAUUUUUUUGGUAUAUAAUUAAUUUUGUAUUUCUUUAAUUUAGAAGGUUAAAUUAUACUUACAUAGUUUACGCUUUAAUAGUUUGAUGGUAAAUUGUAAAAAUAUAUAAAAAAAUAAUAAUUAUCAAAAAAUUUAGGUGCUAAAAUAAUAUGUCAGAAAAAAAUACCUUUAAUAUUAAAUAGAAUAUAAUUUUUUUUAAAAAAAGAAAUUUUAUGAAGAUUUUGGAAGAGUGUCAAUAGUUUGACUCAUUAAAAAAUGAUAUGUAGCCCGAAAUUUAUUAUUUGUAUGGAUAGUUGAUGGGUGGAGGCCCAUCUCCCAAAGAUGUUUACCAGGCGACGAGCCAUCUCCCAAUUUUCGUCUGAUUUUAAUUAAAAAAUAUUAAAUUUAUUUAUUUCGGUGAAUAAAAUUCAAAUUAAAUAUCAGCAUUGUUAUUUGUUUAUACAAGAGAAUGGACAAUCAUAUUUAUUAUUUUUUUAUAUGACUUUUGGUUGCAAAGAUGACGGGAAGUCAUCCUCGUGCCGCGACAAACAAGUGAUUACUAUUGCAAUGCAUGUGUCUUUGUCUUAAAUUAUAAUUUCCAUAUUUUAAAAUUAUAGGAUCAUUCUAUAAUGCCGUAAUUAAAUUUACAACAUUGAUGUCGUAAUGGACGUGGACCGUUAGAUUUGAAUAAAAAAUCACUAUCAUUAAUUCUAAAUAAAUAGGUAACAUGUUACCUAAGUAGGAGAUAAUUACUCUUUUUUGUUCAAAUUCCAUGUUACAUUUACCAAUUUUAUGUAUGAUUUACAAGUUUUAUGAAACUUUUACAAGUUAAUGUUGAUUAACAAGUUUUAUGCAACAUUUACAAGUUUUUGUUUUAUUUACAAGUUCUUCUUAUAAUUUACAACUCUAACAUUAAUUUAUCUAUUUUUUCAUUAAUUUAUUAGUUUUAUGUGUGGUUUACAAAUUUUUUAUUUUAUUUCACACUUAAUGUCAAUUUACAAGUUCUAUGUCAUUUUUCUAAAUUUUUGUUUUGUUUACAAGUUCUUCUUAUAAUUUACAAUUCCAACAUUAAUUUACUCAUUUUUCCAUCAAUUUACUAGUUUUAUGUGUGAUUUACACAUUUUUUAUUUCAUUUCACACUUAAUGUCAAUUUAAAAGUUCUAUAUCAUUUUUCUAAAUUUUUAUUUUGUUUACAAGUUCUUCUGGCCAAUUACAACUCCAUCAUUAAUUUACCCAUUUUUCCAUCAAUUUACUAGUAUUAUGUGUGAUUUACACAUUUUUUGUUUCAUUUCAAAAUUAAUGUCAAUUUACUAGUUGUAUGUCAUUUUUCUAAGUUUUUGUUUUGUUUACAACUUCGUCGUGCAAAUUAUAACUCCAACAUUAAUUUAUUAAUUUUAUGUGUGGUUUACAAAUUUAUUGUUUCAUUUCACACUUAAUAUCAAUUUACAAGGUCUAUAUCAUUUUUCUAAGUUUUUGUUUUGUUUACAAGUUUUUCUUACAAUUUACAACUCCAACAUUAAUUUACUAUUUUUUCCAUUAAUUUAUUAGUUUUAUAUGUGGUUUACAAAUUUAUUGUUUCAUUUCACACUUAAUGUUAAUUUACAAGUUCUAUGUCAUUUUUCUAAGUUUUUAUUUUGUUUACAAGUUCUUCUUAUAAUUUACAACUCUAAUAUUAAUUUACUAGUUUUAUGUGUGAUUUACAUAUUUUUUGUUUUAUUUCACACUUAAUGUCAAUUUACAAGUUCUAUGUUAUUUUUCUAAGUUUUUGUUUUGUUUACAAGUUCUUCGUACAAAUUACAACUCCAACAUUAAUUUACUCAUUUUUCCAUCAAUUUACUAGUUUUAUGUGUGAUUUACACAUUCUUUGUUUCAUUUCAUAAUUAAUGUCAAUUUACUAGUUCUAUGUCAUUGUUUCUAAGUUUUUGUUUUGUUUACAAGUUCUUCGUACAAAUUACAACUCCAACAUUAAUUUACUCAUUUUUCCAUCAAUUUACUAGUUUUAUGUGUGAUUUACACAUUCUUUGUUUCAUUUCAUAAUUAAUGUCAAUUUACUAGUUCUAUGUCAUUGUUUCUAAGUUUUUGUUUUGUUUACAAGUUCUUCGUACAAAUUACAACUCCAACAUUAAUUUACUCAUUUUUCCAUCAAUUUACUAGUUUUAUGUGUGAUUUACACAUUCUUUGUUUCAUUUCAUAAUUAAUGUCAAUUUACUAGUUCUAUGUCAUUGUUUCUAAGUUUUUGUUUUGUUUACAAGUUCUUCGUACAAAUUACAACUCCAACAUUAAUUUACUCAUUUUUCCAUCAAUUUACUAGUUUUAUGUGUGAUUUACACAUUCUUUGUUUCAUUUCAUAAUUAAUGUCAAUUUACUAGUUCUAUGUCAUUGUUUCUAAGUUUUUGUUUUGUUUACAAGUUCUUCGUACAAAUUACAACUCCAACAUUAAUUUACUCAUUUUUCCAUCAAUUUACUAGUUUUAUGUGUGAUUUACACAUUCUUUGUUUCAUUUCAUAAUUCAUUAAUUUAUUAGUUUUAUGUGUGGUUUACAAAUUUAUUGUUUCAUUUCACACUUGAUGUUAAUUUACAAGUUGUAUGUCAUUUUUCUAAGGUUUUGUUUUAUUUACAAGUUCUUCUUGUAAUUUACAACUCUAACAUUAAUUUACCCAUUUUUCCAUCAAUUUACUAGUUUGAUGGAAAAUGAAGCAGGUAUCUUACUAGUUUGAUGGAAAAUGAAGCAGGUAUCUCACUAACAUGCAUAUGUUUCAUCACACAAAAUAAGUGAGGGCAUGGUAUUCCAAUAGAUUCGAACUUCUUACAGGAGCACUCAAAAUGUUGUUCUUUUAGAUAAUAAACCACAGUCCACUUCUUUUUGGCUUCUAAAUGCCUAGUUAAUGUGUACCCUUGAUUAUAUAUGAGUGACAUUGCUCAACAAUAUAAACUGGCCUUCUUUGUAAAUUUGUUUACAAACCUUGUAAAAUUACUUUUGAGUGUAAACCCCUGCAGCAUGCUUCUCCAAGCUUGGAAGAUGAGUACUAAUCAUUGGAAUAGAAUGCUUAGUUUUAAAAUUAUGUCCUAAAUUGUUAUUCCUUGUACGUCUCAAGGCUCGAUCAAUUUGACGAACAAAUUCAUGCAACUUCAACUUUCUUUGAAGAAAUCUAUUCAUAUAUGCAUUCAUACCCUCACAACGUUGUGUUGUGCGCAUGCCACCAAAGAAAUGACCCCGUAAGAAUGCUUAUGCCCAUCUCUCUCGUUUUGAGUACAUCUUCUUAACCCAAUCAUUAUUUUGAAGACCAAGCUCUUUCACCAUGUUCUGCCAUAAUUGCUCAAAUUCUUCGGGUCUGUAAUUUCCCAACAGAAAAUCCUUAAACCUUCUAACAAAUUCAAGCGUUUUAUGUACAUUAGAUUGUGCAUUUCUUUGUAGAUGCCAAAUACACAGUCGAUGCUGAGCUUCAGGAACUACCUUUUUAAUUGCUUUGCGCAUCGCUCUAUCUCCAUCAAUCACAAUAGAUAUAGGCUUUCUAUUAUUCAUAGCACUUAAAAAUGUUUUAAGCACCCAUGUGUAGGUCUCAACCGUCUCAUCCGUGAGAAUUGCACAACAAAAAAAAACUUGUUGCAUAAUGAUUAUUAACAUCCAAUAGAAUAACUAAAGGCUUCCCAUACUCAUUUGUCUUGUAAGUACUAUCGAAAGCCAAAACAUUGCCGAAGUAACUAUAAUCCAAUCGAGCAAUAGAAUCUACCCAGAAUAAGUUUGCAAGUCUAUUCUCCUCAUCUACAGAGUACUUACAAAAGAAAUCUGGAUCUAUGUCGGCUUUUGCAUUUAAGUAUGCAAGUGCAACUUUUGAGUCUGUUUCAAGUAUCAUGGAUCGACUUUCAUUAUCUAAAUUGUUAUAUAAAUCCUUUAAUCCAAAGCCCAAUUUGUCAUAAUCUCCAGCCUGGUUGACAAAGAAGUCCAUAAUCUGACUUGUCUUUAUACCAACUGUUUGCAUUGAAUUAGCUAGAGCAUUGUCAGAAUCUUUAACCAUUCGAUGAGAUCGAAGAAAUUGAGUCUCAAAAUCUGCUGCCAACUCAUGAGAGUGUUUCGGAACAAAGCUUCUAGCAACCCAAAUUUUGGACUCCUUAUCUAAAUUUACCCUGAAUGCUGCUCGACAGUUGACUCUUGUAAUAACUCUAGGUUCACGGAUUCUGUUUGUAUGCUCAAUAUACUUUUUAUCCCUUUCACCUUCUCUACUGCAAACCCAAUGUUUCAUUAUGGGUGCAACAUUUGUAUCACGUCUCCCAUCAUAAAUGCGAACACUAAAACACAUUAUUUUUUAGUGUUUUUGAUAAAAAUUUGUAGCUUCUUCAAGUGAUGCAAAUCGCUUUCCAAUAACGUCUUCAGCAGUGAGUUCAUACAUGCUUUUAUCAUCCCAAUAAAUAGAGUUUGAACCAUCCCUCCCUGUCAUAAUAGAGUAUGAAUAAUUUUUUUUUAUCAUGAAUAGCUAACUUCAAUUGAUACUAUUGUUUUAUUAUUGACAGAUAAAAUAGUCUAAUUCUAUUAUUUUAUUACCACCAACUAAAAUAAACUGAUACUGUUAUUUGAUUUUCAAAAUAUUACAAAAAUAAUUUGGUUCAAUUGUUUUGUUAUGAACAACUAAAAAACUUGAUUGUAUUUCUGCUUGAGUUGUUGAAGGAAUAUCAUAUGAUGAUAGAACAUCAAGCUCUGGCACUUUGUAAUUUUUGUUAAUGCCUGUCAUUAUACAAUAAGAAAAUAUUACAAUAAGUGAAAUGGCACUUCUAGACAAUAGCCUGUAAAUUCUAAUAGACACAAUUAAUAUUAAUUUUAAAAGGUUAAACAACACUACUCUUUUUAGAAAGAGAGAAAAUAACAUAAAAAAUAAUAGCAAGAGUAACAAAUCAUUAAAAGACAAUGAAGAAUUAACCUUGUUGAUCAUCAUUCAUUGUGUUCUAUGUGGUCGUUAGAAAACACUGGGCAAGGAAAUUGUAGGAUUGAAUGGAACUAUUGAAUUAGGAAAAGACGUAUUCUGGACAAGUUGCAAAAGUUUUAAUAUGGCUAAUUUCAAACUAGUCCCCAUUAAGUCAAAAUAUUACAAAUGACCCAUUUAUUUUAAAAAUACUCAUUCAGCCCCAGAAGUAUAAAGUCAGCCUUAAUUAUGUUUUGCCUGUUGAGUAUUAUUGUAAGUGUGAAAUUAUUAACAAUGUCCCUAAAUAAAUCGAUUACUACUAUAGUUGUAAUUUCAGAAUUAUAAUUUUUUUCCCGUUUUGCCUCUAGUUUCUCUUAUAAUGUUCUGAAAAUUAUUUGUUGCAAAAUAAUGUGUCAUGUUCAUGUGCGUAGGAGUUAGAUUUGAGAUAAUGUUCUGAAAAUAACUUGGUUAAUGUUUGAAAUCUUGUUUAUAUUAGGUCUUAUUUUUCUAGCUAGGUUACUAUUAUGCUUGUAAUUUUAUUUUUCUAAAUAAUUAGAUUAUUAUCAUGCUAUCGCAGCAAGUUUGGACAAGCUUGUGUACUUGGUCAGGAAUUCAUUGCUUGCUUCUUGUUUUUCAAUUUUGGCAGUGAUGGUAGUAAAAGCUUUUGGAGUUUUGGACAAUGAUGAUGGCAGCUCACAGUGCACUCUCUCCCUCGUUUCCUAAUCUACUCAAAACGAAGGCGACUCACAGAACUCUCUUUCCCUCUUUUCCUGAUUUGCUCACAACAAAUCUCUCUCUCUCCUUAUCUGUGUCGAUCUACACGCAACAGCAAGCUCUCUGUCAUUUUCUCUGCAGAUCUGCUCUCUCUCGGUGUGAUCAAGGAUUGCAAGUUUAACAAUUGCUGGAAAACAAACAUCUUAUUACAAAUUAUCAUAAGCGUGAACUUAUACUAAAUUAUGAUCUAUUAGUAGUAGUGAACUAUUACAUAUUUCUUCCCCACAAUUGAGAUAUAUAUACACUAGAAAAUGGAGAGUAUGAACUUACAAUUCACUCAAAGACUUUGAGAAAGAUGUCUGUGUGGUCCAGCCGACAUGGUGACAGACUGUCAGGCAAGGGGGCAAUGUUUAUGUGGUCCAGCAAACCCAAACACUUUACACUGAACUUCUUAAUUCCGUGAACAAAUCCGGCGUACAGAGACUUGUUAAUUCUGGCGGAAUUGAAUCUAAGAAUUUCGUGAACAAAUUAUGACGAUGAUACUAUAUAAGUUAAUAUAAAAUUGAAUGAGAAAUCUGAAACUAAAUUACUUAGCAAAUUCAUGCAAAGAAAACAAAAUUGCUUAGCAAUUCGAACGAGAAAGAGGAAAAAGGUACAUUGCACAGGUGACGACCGCCAAAACCAAGACAGAGGCAGCGAUGGCAGAGACUCAGCAAUUCGAACAAGACAGAAAAUCAACUCAAUGAAUGGUCGCAAUCUGCAGACGUAUCGCCGGUGCACCUGAACUGAAGUUAACGCGGCAGUGGGUGUGACUAUAUCUUUUGCAAUUCGUUAAUUAGGGAUCAAGUUUUCCCUUUGUAUUUUUUUUUUUAAAGUAAAUCCUUUUUUCCUUUAAAUUUAUCAGUAGAAUUUUAUUUUAAAAAGUACUUAACCGGUUAUAAACCGGUUAAACAUAAUUUAAUUAAAUGUUUUUAUUAUUUUAUCAUUAUUGUGAAUCGUUGAUUUAAUCUAACGGUCCACGUCCAUUACGGCAUCAAUGUUGUAAAUUUAAUUACGGCAUUAUAGAAUUUUCCUAAAUUAUAAUACUAUAAUAAAUUUUAUUAAUUUAAUAUAUAAAUUAACUUGUCCUAAAGACAAGAUAGUCGCAUGUGGUACAAGGAUUGUUUUUACCCCCUUAUAUUAUAUCUCCAGAAACUAUUUCCCUUGAAAGCAACUCAAGUUUACAGGUCAAUUGACUUAGUAUUCUAUACAUUUGCUCUUAGCGUGCUUCUUUUCUCCAUCACCGUUUGGUUUCUGUAAUUUAUCUUCUAUUUUCAUCUUUGUUUUCUAUUGCUACCCAAAAACAUAAUCAAUGGAUUCACCAGCCUUGAAAAAUAAUAGAGUAAUUAUAUCACUCGUUUUUCCCCUCAUCUUGUUUCUUGUUUUAGACUUUUCACUUGCUGUUUCUUCUAAUUCUACAGAAGAAGCCCAUGCUCUUGUGAAAUGGAAAGCCAGCCUUGAAGUCCAUAGUCGUUCUCUCUUGCAUUCAUGGUCUCUUUCUUUUGUAAAUGCCACCAAAAUAAGCUUGUGUACUUGGUCAGGAAUUCAUUGCAACCAUGCCGGAAGAGUCUUCGGAAUUAAUCUGACAAGCAUAAGUCUAAAUGGUACUCUUCUUGAAUUCUCAUUCUCAUCAUUUCCUCAUCUUGCGUAUCUUGAUUUAUAUAAUAACGAGCUCUUCGAUAUCAUCCCUCCUCAAAUCAGCAACCUUUCCAAGCUAGAGUACCUUGAUUUUUCAACUAAUAAGUUGUUUGGUCAUAUACCAUCAGAAAUUAGCCUUUUGACUCAUCUGACGAUCCUUCACAUUUCUAGAAAUCAAUUGAAUGGUUCAAUUCCACAUGAGGUAGGCCAAUUGAAUUUUCUUAAUCACCUUAUUUUAGAUUCUAAUUUUUUGGGCGGUCCAAUCCCUCGUUCUCUUAGCAAUUUCACCAACUUCGUUUUUUUUAUCUUUAUAAUAAUUCAUUUUCUGGUUCCAUUCCUCAACAAAUAGGAAACUUAAAGUCACUUUUUGAUAUGAAGUUGUGCAUAAAUCAACUUAAUGGUGCUAUACCUCUUUCAAUUGGUAAUUUAACCAAUUUGAGAUUCUUAUUCCUUUAUCAUAAUGAGCUUUCUGGUAUCAUUCCUCAAGAAAUCGAAAAUCUCAAGAAGUUAAAUUCUUUACUGCUAACUAAAAACAAUUUUCGAGGUCAAGUUCUCAAAAGCUUCAGAAAUUUGACCGACCUAGUCAAACUACGUCUUAACCAAAACUAUUUAACAGGAAAUAUACCAAAACUUUUGAUACUUAUCCAAACCUCACUUUCAUUGAUCUCAGCAAUAACAAUUUUUUUGGUGAAAUCUUAUCAGACUGGGGAAGAUGCCCACAAUUAAGUCUUUUAGAUGUUUCAAUAAAUAAUAUUACUGGAAACAUACCGUUUGAGAUUGGAGAAUCACCUCAGUUACAAUAUCUUGAUCUUUCUUCAAAUUAUAUUGUUGGUGAGAUUCCAACACAACUUGGAAAUAUAAUUUAUCUCAACAGGAUUAGUUUGAGUGGGAAUAAACUCUCUGGACGUAUACCUGGAGAGCUUGGGUCACUCAUUAAUCUCGAGUACCUUGACUUGUCUGCAAAUCAUCUGAGCAACUUUGUGCUAGAAAGUCUUGGCAGCUUGGUUAAAUUGUAUUAUUUGAAUUUGAGCCACAAUAAAUUGAGUCAUUUUUUUAAAAACCGAAAACCGAACCGACUGGUUUUACUAUUUUCUCUAUAUUACUAAUUCGGUUUUUUGGGUGUAAAAAAACCGCAAAAAAACCGAACCUGCUGUACGGCCAAGGCGGAUGUACGGUACAGCAGAGGGACAGAUUCCUAAUAGCACAACAUUCAGAGAUGCUCCGUUGGAGGCAUUACAAGGAAACAAAGGAUUGUGCGGAGAUAUCAGAGGAUUUCUAUCAUGCAUGUCAUACAGAAAAGCUUCCCGGAAGAUUUGGAUUGUUAUUGUGUUCCCUCUUUUAGGUAUGGUUGUCCUUUUUAUUGCUUUGACCGGAUUUUUCUUCAUUUUCCGUCAAAGGAAAAAUGAUUCACAAACACAAUAGAGUGGCUUUGGAAAUACUCCAGGGAUGCUUUCAGUGUUAACCUUUUAAGGGAAAAUCGUUUACGAAGAAAUCAUCAGAGCGACUAAUGAUUUUGAUGCUAAGCAUUGCAUUGGAAAAGGUGGACAUGGAAGUGUUUACAUAGCUAGGGUGCCAUCUGGAGAAAUCUUUGCAGUUAAGAAAUUUCAUUCCCCACUUCUCGGUGAGAUGUUGAUAGGUCCCAGUCAAAGCUAUUGUAUUUUGUAUGUAAAUAGGAUUCUACUUAGGGCGAGAAUCAGCCACAAGAAUUUGUUAUUGAAUUCACUCUCUCUUAUUCUGCAUAAUACUUGAGUUUAAAUACACGAAGGACUAACAGACUCCUCCUAAAAAUAAUGUCACAACUACUGAAAAUUAGUAACUGAAUCCAGAUAAAGCCAGCACCUAUUAAAAUAACAAAAUACUUGCUAACAGAAUUUGAUUAAGCCUUAACUUGCACGUGACUAAGCUGACCACUCCACUAAAUCCACUAAAUCCUCAACGGCUCCAUGCAUUCUUGACUCAUUCCUUUUAGACAGUGAACUUGCAAUUCUUGAUGGGCACACGUUGAGACUUUCGUGGCUUAUCAGAUGUCGUUUCAGCAAGAAGAAUUCCUUAAUGAAAUUCAAGCAUUGACAGAGAUACGACAUCGAAACAUUGUGAAAUUUUAUGGCUUCUGUUCACAUCCCAGACAAUCAUUUAUAGUUUAUGAGUAUCUGGAAAGCGGUAGCUUGGACAAGAUCCUCAACAAUGAUGCAUCGGCAAAAGAAUUGGGUUGGACUCAGAGAUUAAAUGUGAUAAAAGGUGUAGCUGAUGCAUUAUUUUACUUGCACAAUAAUUGCUUCCCACCAAUUGUUCAUUGGGACAUAUCGAGCAAGAACGUGCUGCUGGAUUUGGGUUAUGAAGCCCAUGUUUCGGAUUUUAGAAUCGCCAAGUUUCUCAAUCUGGACUCCUCUAACUGGUCUAAACUUGCCGGUACACACGGAAAUGUCGCACCAGGUAAUUCUCUGCUAAUUAUUAAAUCUUCACGUCAUCAUGAUCUUUUUUUUUUUUCCUUAUGUUACACUGAGCGAAAAAAUUGGUGUGACAUAGAUGAUCUAAUUUUGUUUUUUCAAUUUGCAGAGCUAGCCUACACAAUGAAGGUUACUGAAAAAUGCGAUGUGUACAGUUUUGGAGUGUUAGCAUUAGAAGUGAUCAAAGGGAAGCAUCCAAGGGAUUUUCUUUUUGAAAUGUCAUCUUCAUCUUCCAAUAUGAACAUAGAAAUAUUGGACUCUCGGCUUUCAUAUCCGUCACUCGAUGUCCAAAACAAAUUUAUGUCAAUCAUGCAGGUUGCCUUUUCAUGCUUAGAUCAGAAUCCAGUGUCUAGACCAACGAUGAAGAGAGUUAGCCAAUUAUUAUGUGAAAUUUUUUUCGAAGUCUAGUCCAUUAACGGUUUUUUAUAAUCUUGUAUGUACUUUUCUGAUAAAUUAUUCACGUUGUGAGUCUUUGUAGCAAAGGUCUUCCUGUUUUUAAUACCAUUGUAGUUUGAAGUUCAAUCUAAGCAGUUUCACUAUAACCCUGAUCACAACGUCCGUUAACGCUUGAAUAAUUUAUAUAUAUAUGUAUGUAUAUUUUAAUGGUACAUUUAUUAUAAUUUUUAAAUUUACGUAGAAUUUUUUUUGUUAAUUUUUACAUAUAUAGAAUAUAAUAUUAUAAUUCUUCUAAGAAAAUUUUUUAUUUUUGAGAAAUUUAUUCUAGUAAAUUACAUAUUGCAAAUUAAAUUUAAUGUUAAAAAAUGAUUUUUCAUUGAGGGAUUAUUUUAAUGUAAAAUGGAAGCCAAUUAUUCUCAAAUUACUAUUAAAUUAAAAGAUUAACAAACUUGAUAUUCAGUUCUUGAUUAAUUAUGGAGAUCACUUAAAAAAGAACAAAAAGGAAAAGAUAAUGAAGCAAACAUCAGUAAGAAAAUAUAGGACAAAACAUAAGGUCAUAUCAACUUUAGACCCUGCUGUUUGCAAUGGCAUUUGGUAUCAUCAUGAUUCGAGAAACAAGUUUACUAUGUAAUGCCACCAAUAUUUGAAAACAAACGAAAAAAGAAAAUGCUAAUGAUACAAAAUAAAAGAAAAAUAAGACUCAACAAAUUUUGAUGAUUAAAUUAAGAGAAUUGCUUCUGAAUUCAGCUCCUCAUUGGUAUCUUCUUGCUCCUUGUGCAGAAACUGCUAAUAACCCAUGGCUAACUCAGUUUAUUGCUGUGUAAAACUACAGAUUCUUUCAUGGAAGAGAAACAAUGUUGGUAGUAUUUGAAACUGAGAGCUGCACCCUAAAAACAAGUAAAAGAAGACAUAAUCCCAAGAACUAAUACUAGACAAAAUUGCAAUUCAGAAAAAACACAAGGGAAUCUUCCCAUUUUAAAGAGUUAAAAAAAGAAAAGCAAAAUGUAGAUCAUAUUGAAAAACAAAUUAUAGGUUAUAUAAAACAACAUCUAAAGUCUUUCUACACAAACAUUAGUAAAACAGUACCUGUAAAUUUCCUGGUGUCAUUUUUGCAGCAUAACAGCAGCUAAACAACACUUGCAAAUUUGCAAAUGCAAUUUUUCUACACAAACAGUGGCAAAACAACACCUAGAAACUUCCACCUGGUGUUUUUGUUGCAUAACAGCAGCUAAGCAACGCCUCAAGACUUCUACAUGCUAUUUUUUUUUGCACAAACAAUAGCAAAACAACACCCAAAAAUUUUCAUGUAUUGUGUUUAUGUUAAUUACAUAACAGCAGCUAAGCAGCACCUGGAAACUUUCAGGUGCUGUUUUUAUGAUUAAACAGUAGCGAAACAAAUUGCAUAUUAUGCUUAAAAUAAAACCGCAUUCCUAACACACCAUUAUUGAGGAAACUAAACUCUACAUAUAAUAUAAUUAAUUAAUUUAGCUCAUCACCCAAUAAGAUUAAAUCAAUAUAAUUAAUGCAUCUUAUGUUUAAAACAAAAUAUCUUUAAAGUGGGGACUGGAUCAAAAUUAAAGAACCAAGAGAAAUUUAUCAAAACAAAUUAAAAAUAUAAAGACUAUAGCUCAAGAAUUUUGAAAGAAUUACAGGGCAAAUUAACUCACUCUAAUGAUACAACUAAGUAAUAGUAAAGUAUAGACAAAUUAUUAAAGUUCUAUCAAAUUCUCCAAUUUUCAUAUUGUAGUUAAAGUGCAACAAAUAAAAAUACUUGAGUUGUAAUUUUAAUCUAAAAACAACUAAGUUCUCCAAAAAGAAUUGAAAACGCCUCUUCGAAUAUUUGAGGUCCUUUAGGAGCAGCACCAUAAACUCAAGUAUUUAUAACACUUGCGCACAACCAAAAUUUAAAAGGCUCUUCCUGAAUUUGAUCAGCUAAGUCUCUAGUAUGUGCCAAUACUAACACUGUAGCACCUUCACCUUGAUUAUGAAUAACCUAUGUCAGUUGCGAAAGGAAAAUAUGAACAUGAAGUUUCAUUUAGAUAUUUUUUCAAACACUUGGAGUGCUUUAAAUCUUACCUCUUCUUUUAAUCAAAUGCCAUCCACUUUUAAAUAAAAUUAUUUUGACUAGGCUUUCUUUUUAAGCAAAACUAAGCAAAAAAACCUCUCAAUCAAACAAAAUCAAACUAAUUUCCAAAAUAUAUAUGUUAAAUAAAGCUAUUCACCUCAAGCUUAAAGCCAUGCAUCACAUUUCAUUGAAUUUAAUAAGCAUUCGAUUAAGUCGGCAUAUCUAUCCAAACAUGCACAAAUAAAUAAACGAAGACAAGAUAUAUCUCAACAAAAUGAGGAACAAACAAUUUCAAAAUCUGAUUUUUAAUUUUCAUCCAAAAGCAAACAAAUCCUAAAAAUUCACACAAAAGCAAGCCCAAUUUCAUAAUCAUAUUAACAAAAUUUCAAAAAUUAGUUCUCAGCAUUUUUUUAGCAUGUGUGAUUGAUUAACAUCAUACCCAAUUUCUUUACGACGUCAACAAAGACUAGCGAUUGUGGCUACGAGAUUGGACGUUCAUGCAUGUCAGUGGUGGCCGGUGGCUGUGAAGGGUUUGUUUAAUGGCAAGGAUUGGGGCAGUGUGCGCAAAAAAAAAAAAAAAACAAUUAGCAAAAAACACAAAUUGAAAGGCCAUGAAAUCAGUUUAAAGUUAAGCCAAAUACUUGAAAAUCACAUCCGCUGUUGACCAUUGUGGAAGUUGUGCCGCCGUUGACUGUUCUGGAAGCAGAAGAGGAGAGGAAUUAGUAAUUAGGUAUUUUGAAUUUUGAAUUCUUUUGCCAUGAGCUCGCGUCAGGUGAGAGAGUGAGACUGAGUGAGCGGGGCUGGGGGGUUGUGCAUGUGCCGCUGUUGACCGUUGUGGAAGUUGUGCCGCCGUUCAUUGUGUCAUUCACCAUUGUCGAAGAAGAAGAGAAUAGAAGAACUAGCUUCGGCAGCCGGCGUGAGGUGAGAGCCUUUUUCUUUGUUAUUUUUCCACAAAUAUAUAUAUGGCCGAUUCGGAUGUGUGCUUUUUUUUUGAGAAGAUAAUUAAACUUUCAUUAAAGCAAACAAGAGAAUACAGAUUCCACAUCAAUUGGUAACGGCGCUGUCCAUACAACAUUUGAAAGACUCCUUAAAGCAAGCUUAGCCAAGGAGUGGGCAUGAGCAUUACAUGAUCUGGGUGUGUAAUGGAAACUGAUGUGCUGGAAAUCCUUCCUUUGAUCUUGAAUUUCAGAAAUCACCCAAACAAUCUCUGUCUUGCUUCCCUCUUGGUUGUUAAUCAACUUUGCUACAUCUUGACAAUCUGUCUCCACCAUUAAAGAGCUAAGAGCUGCAUUUUUUGCCACAACUAAUCCCCAUUCAACAGCUUCUGCUUCUGCAACCUUAACAUCUCCAGAAAAUUUUGUGGUCUUGACAGCAGCCACAAUGAUUCUGCUGUUUGAAUCUCGGAUUACAGCUCCUAACCCUGCUAUUCCUUUUUCAUGAUUAAUAGCGGCAUCCACAUUAGCCUUGAAAACAUUUGCAGGAGGAGGGCACCACUUCUGGCUCUUCAUUGGAUUGUGCAUUCCCCCUGAUCCGUGCCCUUGCUGACUCACCCGUUUAUAAGCCUCAACUACAGCCUCAGCUUUAGCCACCACUCGCCAGCAGUCCAUCUUUUUGUCCGAUUCGGAUGUGUGCUUGCUACCGUUUCUAUAGGUUUCAGGUUUUGUGAAAUUUUUUUAAUUAUUUAUUAAUUAAACUCAUCUCAACCGUUGGAUUCAUUAUAUUGAAUCCCAUGGUCAUCUUUUACGCCUAUAUCACAUACAUGCAGGUAUUGUAGCAAAGGUCGUAGAAUCCAAUAUAGGACCCAAUGAUGGCCCACAUAAAUCCCCACUACUCUUUUUUUUUUUUUUGAGACUGAUUAAUCAUCAGAUUACUACAUUACACAGAUAUUUACAACAACUGUUUAUUGUAGCAGAGAUAUUACACAGAUAUUUACAAUUAGAUAUACAUGAUUGGGACUUACAUUAUUACAAUGAAUUCUAUGAAGUACAUGCCCAAUACAAAUAACCCCUCACAGGAGAGGAUGUCCAUACUCCACUUGCAUUUCGCAAGGGAGAAUGAUAUAAAGAACAUUUAGCCCCCACAAUGCUUUUGUAGGGGCUAGAACCGCUGCCCUCACAAUGCUUGUGAGGGCAGCAGCCCACCAUUUCGGCCAAGGCCGAAGUGGCCCCACUACUCUUCUUAUGUCCUCGUUAGAGACAACUUUUAAGUUUUAAGAGUCCAUUGAAACUAUUUUUUAAAUUAUGUUAUAAAUAACAUAAUUUUAAAGUUAUGUAUACUGACUCAGGGACGGGGCCACUGUGUUAAAAACAUUUGCAUGAAAUGGUCGGGACCUUAUUUUAGGUGCUUAUAAUUUUAUCAAUAUACAAGGGCAAUGUUGGUAUUUUAUAUGAAAAUAUUUGUGUACUCUUAGGGGUGGGCAAAAAUAGUUGAUUAAUCAAAAACCGAACCGAACCGAUCGGUUCGGUUCGGUUUUUUUGCGGUUUUUUUACACCCAAAAAACCGAAUUAGUAAUAUAGAGAAAAUAGUAAAACCAGUCGGUUCGGUUUUCGGUUUUAAAAAAAAAACCGAAAAACCGAACCGAGUAUCAAAUAAACCGAAUAAUAUAAUCCCUAAACCUGAAGUGAAUAAAUUGAUCUUCACUUCAGUCACUGAACUCGUGACCUUCAGCCCCUGAACUCAUCGCUGCUGUUGCUCGUGCUCGUCGCUGCUGCUGCCGCUGCUCGUGCUUGUCGCUGCUGCUACCGCUGCUCGUGCUCGUCGCUGCUGCUGCUGCUGCUCGUGCUCGUCGUUGUUGCUGCCGCUGCCGCUGCUCGGGUUGCUUGGUGGACAUUUUAUGUCGAACUGGAUAUCUUGAAGAGGCAAAAAGUACCAUUGGGAGUAUGCCUAUGAGACCAAACUUUGUCAUUUGGAUGAGUUUACUUAGUGGAGCAAGGAACCAUGGAAAUACUGCUGUACGGCCAAGGCGGAUGUACGGUACAGCAGUAGACUGAUUAAUCAUCAGAUUACUGCAUUACACAGAUAUUUACAACAACUGCUUAUUGUAGCAGAGGUAUUACACUGAUAUUUACAAUCAGAUAUACAUGAUUGGGACUUACAUUAUUACAAUGAAUUCUAUGAAGUACAUGCCCAAUACAAAUAACCCCUCACAGGAGAGGAUGUCCAUACUCCACUUGCAUUUCGCAAGGGAGAAUGAUAUAAAGAACAUUUAGCCCCCACAAUGCUUUUGUAGGGGCU
rnacentral:lncRNA from 1 species